rnacentral:lncRNA from 1 species
UUUUUUUUUUUUUUUGCGACAAUCUCUAGAGUUAAUUCCCCACUCAAUUUUAUCAAGGAGUUUUAAGGGACGGCCUACUGGAACCCUUCGGGGUGGCCCAGUGGUUUGGGCUUGGGACUUCCAUGUUGGAGGUCUCAAGUUCGAAACCCCUUGCCAGCGAAAGCAAGGGAUUUGCCUUCUGGGUCGAGCUCGUCGCACCAGGCUUGCCUAGUGCGGGUUACCUCUCCUAUGUGGUUUGCGAGCUAUUGCAUAGGAGCGGGGGUUUUACCCUGUGCGCACCCAAAGGGUAGCGGCUGCGGGUUUCCCUUGUCAUCAAAAAAAAAAAAAAGGGACGGCCUACUGGAAACUAGAUAUAAGCCAAAUGUAGAGAUGGCAAAAUUAGCCCUUGAAACAUAACCCAUUCAACCCCCUAAGUUUGGGUGGGUUAUUGACCCGCCUAUUCCAACCCAUCAAAAAUGAGCUUAUAUGUAGUCCAAAUUGACCCAUGAGAAAUCUCAUCAAAAUAUUUUGAAAAAAGACAUUUUUUUAUUUGAUGUGUUAUAUAUAGCCUUAGCAAAGAAAAUAUUGCUUAAGGUUGAAGGUCAUCAAAAAAUAUAGCCAUAUCAAAGAAAAUAAAUAGUUUUAUUAGGUACUAAAAUUAUAAAUGAAUAAAUAAAGCAACUAAAACUUAGUAAAUAUUGGGCGGAUUGGGUUAUGGCCUGCAUUUUAGGCCAUUUCAGCCCAAGUAACUUUUUGGCGGGUUAUUUAUUAACUCAGACCAUUUUAACACCUACAGUUAGAUAUAGGUGCAUUAGUUCAAUAUUGCUUAAGGUUGAAGUUCUCAAGUCAAGGAUCGUAAAGUCCAUGACACGUUUCUUUCCCGAAACGAUAUUAAAGAACAUAUAUUUGUUGGAGGCACUCUUUGAGGUGCAAAACAUUAGAAAAUUGAAGUAGCCUAUAAAAAUUGUAUAACCCAUCCAAAAUCUCUAACAUCCUUGCCAUUUCAAGAAAAUAGAAGGAAAUGAUAUCAUAUUGGAAAUACCAAAGAGUUAAAAUUAAGGCUUAGUUUAUUAUAUUUAUAUUAGGUUGUGUCUUAAUAAUUUUCUUUUAGUUAUAUUAGAUUAGGUGUUUAACAGGUGUCCUUGUUGUCUGUUUUGGGACUUCCAUGCUAGUGUGGGGAUAAGGGACAAGUGUGAGAUUUAAAGAACUUUUAGUGUUAGGGAACUCUUAAUUCUCCUUAAAAGACAAGUUAAUUUGCUAGUGUUGGAAUGAGUUGGACCAGAGCUUAAUGGAUAUGGAGGGCUUGCUUUUUCGUUUUCCUAUUGUUAGGAUAUGAGGGCUUGUUUUUGUUCUGUCUAGCUUUGGAUUGAGGCAUAAUUGAUGGAUUGGUUGACAAGCAAAGUACCCAACAACAUAAAUCCAAAUGCCUUUUUUGGGUAAGCCCAAAUUGGACAACCAUCGAAGGUGAUUGUCGAAGUUUUUGCACAGAUUGCCGCUAUUUCGGGGUGAUCUUUAUUUUUGCCCCUACUGCUGAUUUUAUGAAAAUUUGUGGAUCAAAUUACCAUUAUGGAUGGUCUACUUUUGCUUGGCGUAAGUUUAGAGAACUUUUGCCUUAUCUGGCGCAGGUUGUAGUAGCUAAUUUGCUUGUCAUAAGUUUAGAGAACUUUUGCCUUAUCCAGCAUAACUCGGGAAGAAGAAAUGGUUGGACUUGCUUCUUUUCAUUUGGAGGGCAAUGCACAACUUUGGUUUCUUCAACUAGAGACUGAACUACCUCAACUGUCUUGGGAUGACUUCAAACGUCAUUGUAACCUUCGUUUUGGGCCACCAAUCAGAAGUCAGAAAUUGGGAGAAUUGGCUAAGCUACGCCAGAUCGGGUCUGUGGCAGAUUACCAAGAAACAUUUGAGCAGUUAAUUUCGCGGGUUGGUACACUCACAGUCACAAAAAAUUGAACUUUAUAUCAACGGUCUUACUAAUUAUAUAGCAAUUGAGGUUGAGUUGCAUAAUCCUCCAGAUUUAGCUAUGGCAAUGAGUUUAUCCCCAUUUUAUGAGCGCAAGGAAAAACUCAUUUGUUCGCAAUUGUUAGAUGCUUGCACAUCAAAGACAAUAGAUUUUUCACCUCAACAAUAUGUCAGAUUUGUGAAGAAACUGACCAGAUCUGAAAUGGAGGAAAGGCGACUUAAGGGACUUUGUUUCAACUGUGAUGAACCAUUCGCUUGAGGUCAUCAGUGCAAGAAGUUUUUCUAGAUUGACUCUAUAUACAAUGAGGAAGAAUUUGUUAGAAAAGGGGGAACUACUAAUAUUUUCCACACUUAGCGCUUGAGGGAAAGCGCGCUUUGAAGAGGGGAGUAAUGUUAGCACUCCUUUUAGUCUACCAAUGUUUUACACAUGGAAGAUUUAAGGAAAUUAAGUUUUUUAUUUUUUAUUUCUAUUUGCAGUAGAUUACUACAGCUUUUUUUUUUUGAAAAUGGUAACGAUGUAUUAUAUCACAAAAGUACAUGGGUUGUACUCAAACCUUAUAUACAGAUGCACUCUAGACACUCCUACUCUAUUUCUAUAUUGAGUCUAGAACAUCAACUAUAGAGACAGUGUCAUUUGAGUAUAAUUGAUUACACCAAAAACAUAACAACAAAAUGCAGUUUAGUUUAACAUCCUGCACACUAUUUUCUAUGCCUUCAAAACAUCUGGAAUUCCUUUCUUUCCAGAUUGCCCACCAUAUUGAAGCAGGGAUAAUUCUCCAUCUAGUUCUGUCUUUUUCAAGGGCACCUGCCUCCUCCCAGCUGUACAAGGCCUCAGUAACUCUCCUAGGCAUAGUCCAGGAUAUGCCUUUAAGGCUCAAGAAAAUCCUCCAAAGCUGCCGGGUGUAUGUGCAGUGUAGAAAUAGAUAGUUUGCAGUUUCUAAGGUUUCCCCACAUAGGAAACACCUAGAGCAUAAGGUUAUCCCCCUUUUCAUUACAUUAUCCUGAGUCAGGGCAGCUUCCUUUGCUAGCAACCAAAUAAAGCAUGAGACUUUGUGUGGGAUUCUACACUUCCAUAUUUGUUUCCAAGGCUAGAUGGGACUCUGCUGGCUUGAUUCAUCCAUUAGCCUGUAAGCUGAAUGCACUUUGAACUCUCCUCUAUUGUUGCCUUUCCACCAAAGCAUAUCCUCAUAUGCCUGAAGUCCAGUAAAAUGUCCAACCAAGUUGAGGAAUUCUGCCAACCUCAUCACUUCCCAGUCAUUUGGUUCUCUCCUGAAGAUGAAAUUCCAUCCUUGUGCUGUCCAUAGUUCUGCAAUAGUUCUUUGUUGGAACAUUGCCAACUUUUGCCUUAUUUUUUUUUUUUUUUGAUAACCGAGAAAUCCGUCUGUGACCCGCCCUUUGGACCAAUCACAGCCUUCUAAACUCGGUGGAUAAUGGGCCCACCCCUCUACCCUUCUCCACUUAAAUACCGGGCUUCGCUUUGCAUGGUGUGGGGCUUGAACCUGCGACCUAAGCCACAAAUCCUCCACCUUUUUUUUUUGAAUAAGUUGUGCAGUAUCUAUUUCACUUGGCAUAAGAUAGAGAACUAUUGCCUUGUCUGGCAUAAGUUCUGUUGGAAUUAAGUUAUGCCUCUUACGACAUACCUUGUGGGUUCUGAAACUGAACUUAUGCCUCUAUUAGCUUAAGUUUUGUAGGAACUAAGUUAUGCCUUUUACGACAUAACUUGUAGGUUUUGAACCAAACUGAACUUAUGGUAGGAAUUAAGCAGAAUAAUUUGUGUUAUAUUAUGAUACAAAAUAUAAACUUAUGCCUAGUGAAUUUCUUUAGAUUUUUCGAUGUCCGGUAUUUUUGGCCUUUUUUUGGUUUCUUAAAGAGGAACACUUAAGUGGAUGCGCCGACACUCUGUCUACUUUAAUUUUAUAAUAUAUAAAUCCUUUUGAUAAAAAAAAGUGCUGAAGGGAAAAAAAUUUGAAGACCACUAAGGGAAAAAUUAAACACCACACCGAAAUAAGGGCAUUCGUGCAAAUGACCUGUAAUUGUCAGUGUUUGUUGCUUAGAGGUCUCAAGUCUUGUCUGAACAGACGAUAUUUGAGAAGGGGCAGACUAGUGGACUUGACACUUGCGUGGCAAGAAUGGGGAGCGUUAAAGUUCACGGAGUAGACUCUCGACCAUAUGCUUCCAUUUACAAAUAUCUCGUAUCUGACCUGCUCUCACUUAUUGCAGGAAGCUGUUCAUCAAACUGUCAGUGUUAUCUUUGAAGAUCCAGGAGUAGAGGAACUGCUCGUUAAAUUGUAUCACAAAGGUGAGAUGUUCCUCAGAUUUCUUUCUGCUGCUAGGAGCUCUCGCUCCAUCUGUUGAAAGCAUUUAUCUCUGAUUUGUUACUAUCUGUCAGUGUAAACUUUUGGAUCUACUCUGUCUUUUUGCUAUGUUCACAAAGAGAUUCUAAUCAUUUUACGUCAUACAGUGUCUCCAGUUGCUUGUAUUUUCUUGAGCAUUUUCUUUUGUUAUCCCAGUUGGAUUAUUUUGAUUGUAUACAUGUAUUUGCUUCUUUUAUAUUUUUGAUAAUGCUAUCAUCAUGAUUACCCAUAUAUUGAAGUAUCUGCUCAAAGAUGAAGAGAAGAAAGCAUGAGUUGAUCAUUUAUCCCUUCAUGGCUUCAUCCCCAAAAUAAGUCUCCAUCUUUCCUUCUCGUGUCUAAAAAUAUAAAUGCUAACUGUUCUUACUUAAAAAGAGAAAGGUCUGGUUUAUUUAUGACACAAGGUUAUAAAUAACACAAUUUUUUCAUUUGUUCCUCGUAACAAACCCUUUUUCUAUUAUUACUUUGGAAGACAGUUUUUCUAAAAGAAGUUUGUACUUCCUUUAUCAAAAAAAAUAAAAUAAAAGAAGUUUGUACUUCCAGUUUUAAACAAAGGGAAGAUUACUCGUAGAAUAAUUAUUUUGUACUUCCAUUUUGAACAUUAGAGUAAGAGAAGUGUUUAUAGUAACAUAGAAUGUCAACUGAAAAUUACUCGUAGGAUAAUUAUUUUGAAAAUAUAUCACGUCAAGAUUAAGAUAAUAUAAAUAUUACUUACGUAAUUUGAAUUGAUAUUUGAAAAACAAACAAGAAAAGUUGGUCGGAUAAUUGUGAUGGAACGAUAAAGCAUUAAGAUACUACUAGUGAAAUUUAAUUUCAUAAUUCUGUGUGGAGUCAUUAGUUGUGUGACUUGGCUUAAAACGUCGUCCAUUUCUUUGAUAACCAAAGAAAAUCCGAUAGAAUCUUUUUUCUUCUUCUUUCAUAGAAUGGGGCUGUCAGUAACUCUGGCCAUCAUCUUGUUAAUUCCGGAUAUUUAAGUGGCUCGGAAAGUUAUUGAAGGAUGUCACAAUCAAAAGUUAUUGAAAGGAUUUUACUAGUACACUUCAACGAACAAUCAAUUCUAAUUUGUCAAACUGGGAUAUUGAGUUUGGAUAAAGGGAUUGCUAGAAAAGAUGGUUGUAACCAAUUCGAAACUAAUUUACGGAAUUUGCGUAGCAAUUAACGUUAGGAACAAGAUCUGCAACCGUUAUAAACUGUUCUGCAACCUAGCAAUGGACGAUUGAAGCAAUAUAUUUCUAGCCACAUAAAAGGAGUCUAACCAUUAUGUACUGUACCAAAUAAAAGCUUUCUAUUAUCUUCGUGCCUAUCAAAAAAAUAUGUGAAGCAUUCUGUCAAUGAAUUAAUCCAAGUCAGAUAUUAUGCAAAUGAUUUAGGUUGUCAAUUGUCAUAAUUUUAAACUCUAGCCUUCACUUGAAUAUUCUAUGUUUUAUAUCUCAGAUUGGCUGGAAGGACAGGUUACCGAGUUCCUAGUUGCAACAUUUGGAGACUACUUCACUGAUGUGAAGAUGUGAGUUCUCUUCUGUGCUUAACUCUUAUAAUAGCUUUGAAUGGCAUCAUCAUGUUACUGUGCUCCUCCCAUGGAAUUCUUUUUCUCCUAUUCAUGUGAGCUAUUAAAAUAUUUUUAUGUUCACAUGCAGUUGCAGCAACAGUUUCUAAUUGAGAGAUAUCCUAGAAUGAGUGACACAUAUCCUUAACUUUGUGUGUUUCACAAUUUUUAAAGGUACAUUGAAGAAAGAUCAUUUAGGCGUUUUGUUGAGGCUUGCCUGGAGGAGACUGUUGUUGUAUAUGUGGAUCAUCUACUUACCCAGGUUUAUUUGAAAAGUUCCUUACGGUUCAUUCAUUUGAUACAGGUUUUAUUUUUGGGCUGUAACACAAUUUCGCUGACUAUUUUAUGUCUCCUCAUGGUAGAAAAACUAUAUUAAAGAAGAAACGAUUGAGAGGAUGAGGCUUGAUGAAGAGGUUCUCAUGGAUUUCUUUCGGGAGUACAUUAGCGUAUCUGUAAGUCCAACAACUUUCUUAUUGAGCUCUUACUAUUACCUGAGAUAUAUUUUAAGUUUUUGGGGAAUUUCGAAACUCAUGCACAUAUUGCACUUAAUUCGUUGGUGAAUGUGGCAAAUAGGUAUGCACCUCAGCGUAUGUGUACAUCUUUUAGUUCUUACCUUAUCCCAUUUACUUCUGCAUUUUCAGAUAUGGAUAAGUAUUGCCUUUCUGUCUUUAGAAAGCUUGCCAAAUCCUUUUUUGUGAAUUUCAUGUUCUAGUUUAUGAGUUAAAUGUCUUCAAAUUACAGAAGAGUUACAAAUUACUAUACCAGUCUCUUCUAUCAUUAUUUUGGCUUAAUGUAGAACUUAAACUCCAAUUUCGGUGCAAGAACACUGCCUUUUUAAUCAACUUUUUUCUAAGUUUUAUUUAUUUUAAUGUACCAUUGUCAAUGCCAAUUUAAGGCUUUUUUUGAAUUUUAUUUUUGGGCUAAAAUGGUGGCAAUUCGUUCAUCCUAAGUUCAAUUUGGUAGCAAUUAAACAGAAAAUAAGAAUGAAAAACACUAGACUUGUUGUGUAAUGUAAUUAUGGCCAAGUGCAACAAAUAUAAACAUAGGAUUUGAAUUCACUCUGAAUCCUACAUGUAAAAAGAAUAUAUAUAUUGCAUGGAAUCUCUUAUUUUUCAGUUUUAGAUUGUAACUCUAGGAGACCAUUGGAUAAUUAGCACCAACUUGCCAGCAAGAGAUUUGUGAAACAUUUUGCAAACAAGAGAAAAUACUUUGCUUAAAAUAAUGACAAAAGUGAUUUGUGAAGUGCUUAAAAGCUAUUUCAACUUAAAAGCACUUAAAAUAAACCAAUCCAACUUGAGGCUCCAAGAGCUUUGUUGUGUCUCAAAGUUAUAUCAGGCUUCACAGAGAGACUUUUUUAUGAGGUAAGGGAAAUUUCAUUAUAAGGCAUCAAGAAGAUGCAGACCAAAUUGCAGAAAAUAAGAUGUUUGCUCAGAUACACAAACUAAGCUAUAACUAAGGUUUGAAACGUUAAAGAGUAUAAACAAAUAAUUGUAAAAUAUUUUAUAUUGUAUAAGGGCUUUAUUUCAUGUAAGUUUCCACUAGAUUUGAAUCCCUCGGUUAUGUUUUACCAUCAUAUCGAGGUAUUUGGAGAUCAAACUUCAACUUUAUACUACAAUGUCAUGUGAUAAACAUAUAAUUGUAAAUAAGGAAAACUUGGUUACAACAUUUUAGAGAUGAAAAGGCCAUAUAUAUUUUAUAAUAUGUCUGCUAGAACUUGAAGGAUGAAAGAUUUUUUUUUUUUGAUAAGAUAAUGGAUUUCCUAGAAGGCAUCAAGAAGAUGCAUAAAUUACAGGGCAUAGAAAAGUUAAAGACAUUGUUAGCUCUAUACUAUAGGCUAAUCUAAAGUUAAGGAGCUAACAAAGUCCAAAAAAGCUUCAAGAGAAUUGACAGGGGAGAAAUUGCUCCAGGUACAUAGAGUUGUUAAAACUCUUGCCUUAAAAAUGUAGCAUGGGGAAGAAGUGCCUUCAAAACAUCUUUUGUUUCUUUCUGUCCAGACACACCAAAAAAUGCAAGCAGGGAUCAUCUCUCAUACUACCUUAAGGAUAGAGUGAAUAUUUUACUUCUGAAAUUGGUUCCAAGAAGUGUUGUGUUAAAUUCUAGCCUUAAGGAUAGAGGGAAUAUUAUACUUCUGAAAUUGGUUCCAAGAAGUAUUAUGUAUUUAUGUUGGUUGCCUAGAUAUAAAGCACCAAACUCUAUGUCAUGUUAAUGAAAAACAGAAAUUAACAGCAAAAGGAGAGUCAAAAUAAGUAAGCAACUAGCCAGAGAAUUGAAGAGAUCGGAAAUUUUAUGUAGUCAUGGUACUAGGAAGAAAUAAAGGAAUAUACUUUACUGAAUCCAGUAAAUACAAUACCACUAGCUGUCUUUUUAAUCGUUGGACUAGUUAAUUGAGGGUUUUGUGUGGAUAGUUUCUUUGCGAUCCAACAAUGGAUGUGUAUUGGUUGUCUCCCCUUUAGUCUUUAGAUCUAUUACAUCUAAUUAAAGAUUUUCAUGUCAACUGAAAAAUAAGGUUACAUCUAAUAUAUCAUUAUGAUAUGAAUUCAAUCUCAAGCUAUUCUAAUGAAAUCCUGACAUAAUUUAAAAGAUCCUACUGCCCAGAGCUUUGGUCUGGUGAUAAGAGCACAGGCACGUGAUGACCUAUAAAAAAGAAAAGAGACCGCAAUGCAUGCUUGUGGAUUAACUGCACAUCACUAGUUCAAAUCAUAAUAGAAUUGCCUAGUAUUUAAGUGGAAAAUGAUAGAUAGACAGGCUCAUUAUGCUCAGAGUUUUGAACCACGCGCCAUCUGGCCCUUGGGGAUUUCUCAGUAAUAGAAAAAAAUAAGUUAAUCCUACUUUUCCAAUUGAAAUUUAUAUAUCUGCAUUACUGGUGCUUCAAAUCAAAAACAUACAGUGUGUGUGUGUUUAUAUAUAUGCUGUCUUAACUUUGGUAACUACCAAGUUGUCUUUUUAUUGCGAAGACAUUGUAUGUCAGUGUGACAAGGAGUACAUGAUGUGUACCUUUAUAACUUAUCUCAAAUUUUCAAUCCACUGCAGAAAGUAGAGAGCAGAGUAAGGAUACUCAGUGACUUGAGAGAACUUGCUUCAUCUGAGAGCCCUGAUACUUUCACACUGGUUUACACAAAUAUUUUAGAACAGCAACCAGACUGUCCGGUAAGUUUUUUGGACUCUUCUCAUCCAUGCAGAGAUAUUGCAAAAACUUAAGAAUCACUAUGAAUCUACAUCUCAGUUAAAAACUGAAAUCUAGAGUGUGGAAGCUGCUGCUUUUUUUUUUUUUAAAUAAAUAAAUUUGGGGAUAGGGGAAAAGGAAAUGGAGAGGGGAUUACAUUGUGGGGAAUCGAACCCUCACCAGCAAGGUGGGAGUUCAGGAAGCCAACCAACUGAGCUACCAAGAUUCCCCCGGAAGCUGCCUGGUUAUAAUCAUUAUUUAUUGUUUUUAGUUUGUCUCCUAAUGAUCCCUGUUAUUGAGCAUUGUUACUCUCAACUGCAGCCAGAAGUAGUUGAAAAGAUUGUGAGUCUGCGAGAAGGCAUACCACGAAAAGACGCAAAAGAGGUAUAUAUGUGUUAUCUAACUGGCACACAUGUUCAAAAUUUUAUUACAGAACUGAACUAUUUGAGAAAGUCUACUCAUCAACUUAUCAAAAAUAAUAUGUUGCUACUCAUUAGCAGUUCUUUUGUUUGCUCUUUUCUACAUUUCCGAAUUUGUAUAUUUAUACAAUGCAGGUUCGUCCUUAAUUUGGAUAAUUGAGUUUGUAUAUUAUAUAUAAUUUGUAUAUGUAGACACCUCUUAUGUUAGGCUUGUCAAUUUGUAUAUGUGUAUAUAGUUGUAAUUUGUAUAUGUAUAUACUCUUUGUAUAAGUAUGUAUGUGGAAAUUUUAUACAAAUAAGAGACAAGCUUGGCUGUAAAUUGUAAAUUGUAUAAGAGGGUAUUUGGAUUGACUUAAAAGUUGGUCAAACCUACUUUUAUGUCAGUUUUUGACUUCUGGAAGUGUUUGAUAAAAUAUAAACAAUAACUUAAAAUAAGUCAAAAAUGACUUAAAAUAAGUUGAGAAGUGUUUGGCAAGAUCAAGAAUGACUUAAAAUAAGUUUAAAAUGACUUAAAAUAAGUCAAAAACCAAAAGUUAGGUCUCCCUCUACUUUUAUUUUUUUGACUUAAAAGUUAUUUCAGUUUGACUUUUAUUUUUGACUUAAAAGCUAUUUUUUUAAGCCAAUCCAAACGGGCCCUAAAUCCCUGCAAUGCAUUAAAUGAAGUUAUCAUGUUAUUUUAGUAAGUUGUGAUUAUGUAUCAUUGCUUUGGGGAUGCAUCAUUUAUUUUUUCUUGUUUCACCAUACUUCUGAUAAAUAUCCAUUCUUAGCUAUAAAUAUAUUCAUUAUGUAUAAAGCAGAAACUUGUCAGUUGUGGGUGUUCUUUAUGCCCAAAACCCAUGUUUGCAGAUUUCUCCAAAAUAUUUGUCUAUUCCUUGUCGACAUUUAUUGCAAGAACAGUGAUAUUGCUCUUGAAUCUCAUGCAUUUACAGCGUCCCCAUGUUCAUCGCCUUUGAGAAGAUAACUUGGUUUCUCUUUAUUGCUUUCUUGAUGGGGAUUUCUUUAUGAUAUAGGUUGUUCAAGAAUGCAAAGAAAUCUAUGAAAAUUCUCUGGUAGAUGGAAAUCCUCCAAAAACAGGUUUUGUUUUCCCCAGGGUGAAGUCCUUAUCAGCGGCAAAACAUUCAAUAUGGCGAAAGCUCACCUAGACAGCUGCUGCAACAAAUCGUUUGUUUCAGUCGCUGAGUAUUUCCUGUACAUGCCUUCCGUCAUAAAUGUACAGAUUGGGACUAUAUUUUCUGUCUUCAUAUGAUUUGAUUUAUUUAGCUCAUUUGUUCGGAUUGUAGUUGCCUUUGCCAAAUAUGUAUUCAUUCCUUUUACCAUUUUAGCUACUACCAAUUUUGCAACCGUUAGGGUUUCAGCGUACUCGCUCGGGUUCUACUUGUAAUGAUUGUUAAAUAAUAGGUCAGCUGAGUUCAUUCUCUCUUUCUGUGUGUUGAUUCUUGAAAUGUUUCAACAAUGAACAGAUCGAUCCCUUUUGUUGUAGCAUAAAGACUCGUAAAUUUGUUACUUUAUGUGUUCAAAGGGAUUCAGUCAGAAACUCAAAUACAAAUGUGGUAACACAAAAACUUUAUAUAUUUUUUAGAAACUCAAAUCGUGUAUGGGAUGAUUCUUCACUCUUUCUAACUUUGAGAAAUGUACAAUUGAUUACUUAACGUCUAAUUUAGCUUUACCACUUUAUUUGAGCUUACAUUACUAGUUCUCUAGGUGAUAGACGGUCGUACGUUAGUAUUAAAUUACUUGAUUUUAGAUGCUUUUGGCUUGUAUUAGAAAAUGAAAAUUGUUCAAAUGUAGUUUUAACGAAUUAUGAAUAUAGUCGAUCUCAACUAAUUUAGAUUCAACGUGUAAUCAUUGUUGUUUUAAACAAAUAAAGCUCUAGCCAAUGAACAUGUGAUUUAGGAAAACAAGUGAUAAGAGUAUGUAGAGACAGAGACCAAAUUCAAUCAAAAGAAUUAACAUAUAAAUAAUAUGAAAGUCCAGAAAUUCCGCAUUAUGCUUGCUCUAAUCAUGUCAAAAUUGAGAAAAAAAGGGAUAAAGUUAACACAAACAAAACACAACUUGUACUUAAACACCUUUUAAAAUAUAUAACAUAUGGGGAAUGCUUCCCACUUGCUCCACUUGACCAAACCACAAAUAAGACACAAAAAACACUCAUUUUAACUCACUAAUUUACUAAUUAACUUAUCUUAGUGCUAAUCAGUGCUGUCUUAUCUUGUCAAUAAACAAACAUUAAACUUAUUUCAUUUCAUCACUAUAUAAAUCCUAUCUCAUUUUUUCCACACUCAACCCUCAUUAUUUAAUUAAAAAGAAAAAAAAUGGAAAAUAUUACUAAUAUUCCUAAAUUGCAUGUUAGAAAUUUAGUUAGAAGAAGUUCAAGACAUUCAACAAAAUAUCAUGGUGUAAGAAGAAGGCCAUGGGGUAGAUAUGCUGCUGAGAUUAGAAAUCCAAAUACAAAACAAAGGCAUUGGCUUGGCACAUUUGAUACCGCUGAAGAAGCUGCUCUAGCUUAUGAUAUUUCUUCUAUUACUUUUUGUGGUAUCGAAAGUGCACGUACUAAUUUUGUCUACCCUUUUUCGUCUUUUCCUUCACCUUAUAAUAAUUCUCCGGCACCACCAUCACCACCACCUCGGCCACCACCACCGCCACCACCGUCAACGCCGGAGUUGGAAGUGGUUGAAAAUAAUUGCAUGAAGAUUGAGAUGAAUGAUGAUAUUAAUGAUGAUGAUGAGUCUCUUGUUAUUGCUUCUAUUUUACAAAGUUUUCGUUAUACAAACACACUAGAUAAGCUGGCUCUUUGAGGAUAUCUUCAACAGUUUUGAAUAUUUUUUUUCUUAAUAUUAUUUGUUGAAAAUGCUAUGGAAAAAAUUAAAAGAUAUUUUCCUCAUUGAUGCAAAAUUAUUUAACAUAUUUGAUCUUUAAAUUAGUUGAGAUUUAUUCUUUUCGACCUUCCAAUAACAAAGCUACAACAAUGUUAACCAAUUAUUAACCUUAGUUUUAACGCCAACGCCAACAAAAAAUCACUAUUGGAGUUAGUGACAUAAAGGAAAUUUAGACGAGGGGGAGUUGAUCGGAUGGCAAGCACCCCUCACUUUCAACCCAAAGAUUGCGAGUUCGAGUCACCAAGGGAGCAAAAAAGGGUGGGAGUCCCUAGGAGGGUUAAAAAAAAAAAAAACAUAAAGGAAAUUUCAACAUUCGUGUAUGCAUUUUGAUUUUUCUGUAAAAGAAGAUUCAGAUGACCCCCUUAUACACCUAUAGGCUAUAGGAUCGGAAGCGUUGACAUAUUCAAGAGUUAAACAUCAUUGUAGGUCUUAAAUUGCAAGUGUGACCUCUGUACAUGUUUUUAUCCAUUUGUAAGGAGUUUGAAUUGAAAAUAAUAAUGUUAGCCGAAUCAACACUUCUACUGUUCUACGUAAAUAGAUAUAGUGUUUACUAGCCACUUUUUAAUUAUGUUUUCAAAAAUAAUUACUUUUAUGAAAUUUCAAUCAUAAAAUUGCAAGCUUCAAGAUAAUGACUAUUUUUCAAUUAUAAAACCAGAAAAUUACAUUUUCCACACUAAAAUUUGGAAGAAUAAUAAAGCAUUUGUAGUGUUCAACAGAUGAUCUGAAUGGGUAUAUUAGAAUUUUUGACCAAAGUAAGCUAUUAUAAAAAUCAAUUUACCAAAAUAAUACGUUUUUUAAAUCUUUUACAAAACUAGUAUAAACGUAGUUCACAGUAACGUUUUAGGUUAUAUUUUAUUCAAAAAAAAUGAAUAACAAAAAGACAAAUUAAAAACUGACAGAGUAAACAGACAUAAAACGUUAUUGUCAGUAACGUUUUAUAAUUCGUUACUCUGAAACAUGUUUUACAGCUAAAACGUGACUCACAGUAACGUUUCUCAAUGGUGAAAAUUGAAAUCCAAUCUUGUACAUCUCUCAUUCAUUAUUCAAAUUUCCACUAUUAAAAUGGAUAAAUAUAUUUUGUACAUACCUCCAUUUAAAAUAUAUAUGAUUUUCUCUUUUCUUUCUCUUUUCACAUAGACAAUACUUUUUUUAAACAAAAGGGAAAAAAAAGUGAGGAUGACUUCACACAAAUUGGAGCUUGUCUUGUAUCAUUUCAAUUUCAAAAUUUGUAAAUAAAUCAUAUAUAUGAGAGAUCUUCUUAAUUCAGGCCUAAGAUAACAUCCCUUCCAAAUAUUAGACUAAUCGGUUUCUUAUCAUUAUUAAAUAUUAGACUAUCAAUAAAGAAGUUAUUGAAUUAAAAUUGAUGUAAUAAGUAAGCAAACCAACUAUUAAAAAAAAUAUAAUGGCUACAUCAUAAUAGAAGAGACAAAGAAAUUAAUUGAUAUUGUAGUAAAGCCUCCUCACAACUUAUUUUCCUUGCAAAAGUAUUAUCCAUGUAUGAAAAGAGAAAUUUAUAUAUGUGAAUAUAUAUGUGUAAAAUAUAUAUAUUCAUUUUAAUAGUGGAAAGUUUAAUAAAGUUGAAUGAGGCAUGUAUAAGAUUGUUUUUUAAUUUUCAGUCAUUCCAGAAAAACGUUACUGUGAGUCAUGUUUUAGCUGUAAAACGUGCCUCAGAGUAACGAAUUAUAAAAUGUUACUGACAAUAACGUUUUAUGUCUGUUUUAAUCUGUCAGAUUUUUAUCUUUUUGUUAUUGAAUUUUUUAAAAUAAAAUAUAACCUAAAACGUUACUGUGAACUACGUUUAUACUAAUUUUGUAAAAUUUUAAAAGAACGUAUUAUUUUAAUAAAUUAAUUUUAAUAAUAACUUAUUUUGGUAAAAAAUUCAGUACAUUAUAUAGACUACUCAACAGUCAACUGAAAGAAGAGUCAAAUAAACCAAAAAUGCCACUAUUUUAUGUCUGACAAAAUAAAUGUGGAUGGGCCAUAUUGUAUUAAUGUUUUUGAAGAUAUUCAAUCUUUUAAGAGACCCUGCAGUUAUUGUUGCUAGUCAUAUGAUUGACUAAUGAACCAAAUAUUCAUGCUUUUUCAAUAAUAAUCUCAUCUAUAUAAUUCGUAUUCUUUAUUUCCUUCGUCUCAAAAUAAUUGUCUCAAAUUAUUUAUUAUUAUAGAUAUUAUUCAAUUGAGAGCCUAACAAAAAAUAUUUUUUUUACCUUCUCAUAGGUAAUUACAGUAUAAACAUAAUUAUCUCAAAUUAUUUAUUAUUGUAGAUAUUAUUCGGUUGAGAGUUUAACAAUUUUUAUUUUUUUUACUUUCUCAUAGAUAAUUAGAGUAAGAUUUAUGUAUAUUUUAUCCUCUUCAGAUUUAUUGUUAUAGUUUAGAAGUUCAAGAUGGUCCCAUAUGAGACUUUGUAUCGAAGAUAGUACCGUUCCCUAAAUGAGAAUCAUUUGAACCUGAUGAAAGAAAGUUAUUGAGUUCGAUCAAAUUGAAAAUCAUUUGAACAUGAUGAAACAAAGUUAUUGAGUUCAAUCAAAUUUCGAAGAGCAGUAGUAAGCAGUAGAAGAAGAUUUCAUCCCCUUAAUCAAUACAGAAUUGGAAAUCAAAAUUCGACAAAUACUCAACUUUAUGUACUAAUAAUUAGCUUGCAAAUAUGAAAAAUCCUUAUAAUAUCUUACAAUAUAUGUAUAUAAACAAAUAAUUAAAGGACCUAAUAGAAUUAAACACGGAAAUCAAACCAAGAUAAAAGAGCAAUACGACUAGACCUAAGUCUUGAUAUAAAAAUUGACCAUAUGAAGAGCAGAGACAUUUUGGGCCGAUUACUACGACUAUAUAUGUCUAUCUAGUGCCAUGGCUUGGAAAUAAACAAGUUUAUCUUUCGAAAUUCUAAAUAAUUUACCGAUUAAAAUGACCUUCAACUAAAUUAAGUGUUGAUAUAUUGUCAACUAAUUAUUUAAUUGUUCUGAGGAGGAGGUCCACUGCCAACUUUAGGUCUUGAUGGUGGUCUUCCCCUCCUUUCUGUUGCUAAUAUCUGCGUACACAACCAAAAUAAAACAAAUCAUAAUGACUUUAAUAUGUGAACAUGAAUUAUUAAAUACAUUCGACUCUCAAAAUUCUAAUAAUAUUAUAUAAAUUGAGACAUAUGAAUCAACUUUCUGAACUAUAUCACCUAACGAAGUAUAACAAGUGUUAAAAAACCCUAACUUUGGUAGAUGACAAAAUGUUAAGCGUUAACACCUCCUUGGCACAAAUAAAACUGUGAUAGUUUGAAACAAAUAAAUAAGACAUAAUUUAAAUAUGAAACAAAUAAAUAAGACAUGAUUUAAAUAUGAAACAAAUAAAAAUGUGAUAGUUUGAAAGGGUUGAUCUGAAAGUUUUAGUCUAUGAAGUCACAUAAAUAAGACAUAAUUUAAAUAUGAAACAUACAAAAAAAAAAUAAAAAAAUUAGGAGGGUUUUGAUCCAUUAUUUUUUUUUAAAAACAAAUAUGUGUAAGACUUUGGUUUUGCAUGUCGCUAUAUCUCAUUUUUUUGCUAAAAUAAAUAAUUAAUAAUUGGAAAUAAUUCUAAUAAAAUGAAAAAGAUAAAUAUAGACACUGCAUAAUUGGAAAUAAUUCUAAUAAAAUGAAUAAGAUAAAUAUAGAAACUGCAUAUUCUAUCAUAUUUUAUAUUUUCUUUUUCGGUAAAAAAAGACAUAUUUCUUGAAACUCAAAGAGAGAGAGAGAAGCAGCUAUUAUUUUCAUCAAAAUACUAUUCAACAACCGACAUAGUCUAGAGAAUUUCAAUUUUUUUUUAAUAAUAAAAAUUAUGACCUUUUUUUUAAAAUUUUUUAAAGGAGGUGUUUAGUCAUGAAAUUUUUUCAUUUUUUUGAGGUUAAACUUUGGAAUGUUGUCAUAAAAUUUGAAACUCAAUUACUUUAGAAUUUACAAAAAUUAAAAAAUAAUAAAAAGGUAUUUUCACCUUUUUCGCUCUAAUCACACACAAAGAAUUAAAAACAUAUUUAAUUUAUAUUCAUAACCAAAUACAAUUUCAAAAAUCAUUUUAUACCUUAAAAAUAAAAAUUAAUUUUUUUCUUUCAAAUUUCGUAAUAAGAUAUGGUCAAACAUCAGCUAACAGUAAUGUAACAUUAUAUACAGAAGUGUAUGUAGUGGAUUAAGUUACUAUACAUCAAACCCCUUUCCUUAAAAAAUUAUUUAUUACGCAGAUAUCAAAUCUUCUUGAGUUUUCUUUGUAAUAAAUAAUCAUUUUUUCGUUUUUUAUAUUUUAAAUUUUCUCUAUGAAAAUAUUAAUUUAAAGAGAACAGUUUAAUGUAAAUUAAUGACAAUAAUAAUAGGCUUAGUGUAAUUUGUAAAGAAUGAUGUGUAACCAGUCUUAUUCGUACUUUUUUUAAAAUAGAAAGACUGUUUCCGAUUUAAUAAAAGGUGAAAAGUAGUAGAUCAACUUACAAGCGUCUCUGAUUGAGGUGGAUCUUCAUCAUCAUUUUCAACUGGAGGGUCAUUCUUGUAAUUAUCAUUUGUUGAAUCUGAACCUUGCUUAUUACCAUCUUCUUGGAACAACACACACUCUUGUUCUUGUUUUUCACUCUCUUCUUCUUCUUUUUUAUUAGUAUCUGACAUACUUGAAGAAGACGAUGAUGACGACGAUGACGAUGAUGCUUGAUGAACAAGUUUUGAAGAUUCAAAACCAAGGCAUUUUAGAAUAGCUUUAAUGCCUUCUUGUAAGUAAAACAUUGGAUUCUUGGUGAUAAUUUCAUUAUAAGCUGAUCUACUCUCUUUUUUCUCUUCCAUUUUAAUUCUUAUAAAUGCUUAAUAUAUUUCUGAACUUGUUAUUUAUUGCAACUAAACAGGAAGAUGAGUAGCUAGCUUGCAGGGGUCUCUUUAAUGUUUUUGCUGAAUGGUUUGGUGUGAGGUUCUUUAAUGAACCUAGCUAGCUUUGGCCCUUUUUAUGUUAAAGAGAUAAUAUUUGACACAUACAAUAUGCUUGUAGUAAUCCCUCAAGACUACCGAGGAUGGAAUUAACUAAUAAAAGUGUGAUUUCUUGAAUAACUCAAGUUUUUAGAUAAGACGGUGAUAUAUUUCCAUAUUGUAUUAGAGCAGACAGACGUCCUGUGAUCGAAUCUCACCGUCAUCCAUAUCAAAAAGAAUUUUCACGUGCUUGAUCCAUAUCUAUAUCAAUUUUUUUUUUCACGUGCUUGAUUUAUGAAAAAAAAAAAACAGAUCUAGCUGCAUGUGAGAGGGCGUGUUGAGAAUGCAAUUAACUAAUAAAAGUGUGAUUUCUUGAAUAACUCAAGUUUUUAGAUAAGACGGUGAUAUAUUUCCAUAUUGUAUUAGAGCAGACAGACGUCCUGUGAUCGAAUCUCACCGUCAUCCAUAUCAAAAAGAAUUUUCACGUGCUUGAUCCAUAUCUAUAUCAAUUUUUUUUUUCACGUGCUUGAUUUAUGAAAAAAAAAAACAGAUCUAGCUGCAUGUGAGAGGGCGUGUUGAGAAUGCAAUUAACUAAUAAAAGUGUUCAUCUCUCUCUAACAACUUAAGCUUUAAUUUAAACGAGACGGUCACACACUUCACAAUACACAAAUAUAUGUGAAUCGUUUAGAUUUCGAGAGUCAGAUAGUUUAAAACAUAGUGAAUUAUUUUGAAAUAGAAUUUAUUUAUUUAUUUGAUUUUUCGCGCGAUGUUCGAUAUCCGUAUUAGAGUACUGACUAAUUAUAUUCGAACCACUCGAUGUUCGGUGCUCAUAUUAGAGUAAUAACUAAUUAAAUUUGAAUUGCACAUUAUAGAACUUAUUUAGGGUAAUGCUCUCAACAAAAUUUUCUUCAUACACAAAGCUCCAACUCAAGAUUUCUAAGUAAGGUAAAACAAUUUAAUUAUUGCACCACAAUCUAUGUUGGUGAAAUAAUAUUUAUCAGUAAAAACUAUGUAAAAAAUAUUAUCAAUCAUAAUAAUUGAUGAUUCAAGAUAUAAUUAAAAGAUAUAUAUGUUAAGAAGUCUCACAUCAGUAAAGUGAUGAGAAUUUGGUCUCCUUAUAUAGACUUGGAUAAACCUCUCCUUAUGAGUUAGUUUUUGGGGUUGAGUUAGGUUCACGUGCCGUAUCUCAACAUGGUAUCAAAGUCAGGCCCAUCACAAUUUGUUGUUCACCAAUGUUAGGCCCCCAUUUAGAAGUGUUCACGCUCCUGUUGAGGUCUAGGCGUAAUGGGGAGUGUUAAGAAGUCCCACAUCGGUAAAAGGGAUGAUAAUUUGGUCUCCUUAUAUGAACUUGGACAAAUUAAACCUCCCCUCAUGAACUAGUUUUUGGGGUUGAGUUAGGUCCAGGUACCGUAUCUUAACAAUAUAAAAAAUCAUGUCAAUUUUUUUUUGUUCGUUUAAAUCUCAAAAUUUGAUGAGAAAGUAAUAUUUUAUUACCAACAAUUCAACAUUAUCAUAUGCUGAGUACUGAGGGAGUUGACCAGUGGCCACAUGUCUUCGUUACACAUCAAUAUCACCUAAUUUAAAUUAAUGUCCCCUUUGACUAAACCACCCUUUGUCUACUUAAAAAAGAUUUUAAAUAUAAGUAUAUAUAAAUUGCCGGAAGAGAGCAAAAAUGGUUAAAUUACUAAUUAUAUUAUCAUACAUAUAAAGUAUAUAUUUAUCAUAAAUAUUACCUAAUUGUAUAAAGACCAUUGAUAUAUACACUACAUAAAAAUGAUUUUUAGUUGUGAUUGACACUCUUUGUAAAUAUCUCAAAUGUUUACAGCGACAUCAAAUCUAAUAACAAUUAACGUGGAUAAAUGCAUUUUUUAUUAAUAUGUAUAUAUAUUAUCGUUAAAAUUUAUUUUUACGAUAAUGAUUAUCGAUGAGAUAUAAAGCCUUCUUUACCAUGUAUAUAUGUUAUGUACACUAUCUUGUACAAAGAUUAUAAUUCAUGCAUGUAUUAUCAAUUAUAUUGCUAUUUCUGCUUAGGGUUAAUAAUGUCAUCACACACUAAUUUCAUAAAAUAUGAUAUGUACGUAGUAAUAUUAAAUGCACAAUAAAUUGAAGGUGGAAAAGAAUUAAAUAUAAAGAAGUUAGCAUGGCAGGUACCCUACCUACUUUAAGAAGAAAGAUGUCAGCCGACAGACAUGUAAUUUUAACUCUUGGAGUUUGUCUUUACUUUCUUGGAAUAGUACAAAACCACACCUAAUUUUCUAUAUAUUAAAAUUAAUUAGUAAUUCACAACUCAGAUAUUCUCAGACUCAUCACUUCAAUCUUAAUAUUAUAUGAAUAUUUUAAAUCAUAGUACUAUUAUUUUAUCUAACUAAUAUGAUGUAGUGAUCCUUUGUUUUCACCAGCAAUAUUCAAGUCCCAACUAUAUGUUAACCCAAAAGAAGACACAAAGAAAAUGUUACUAACAUACGUCCAAAACGUAAGUGGGAUUAGAAGAUAGGUAUUAUAAUCGUUCGGAUAGAAUAUGAAAAUUUUAAUUUUUGAAUUUAGAAAAUUAUAAUUUUGAUUGGAUCGAUUUCUUAAGUUCAAUUUGAUUAAUUAUUCUAAAAAGUUUUAAUUUUGAGCUGAUAAAUUGAGUUGUUACUUGUUUGUUUUCUUACAAAAUAAAUAUUUAUAUCAAACUGCAUUAAUAACUCCUUAUUGUCAUUAUAUUCAUCUAAAUAAAAUAUUGAGUCGAUGUAAUUAAGAAGUGACUUAUUUUUUAUGAUACAUUUCGAAAGGUAUAUCGUAAUGAUACAAAUAAAGUAUACAUCAUAGUGCUCAAGUGGUCCAAGCUUAGCUAGAAUGACUCUCAAAAAUAAAUAAUGUAAUAUUCUUUCACAUAGCUAGGUGCCAUAUAUAUGGAGACGAUAAUUUAGCAAAACUGAAGGAUGCUUGGGUUUUACACGCCUUACCGUCAAUUUUGUUAAACUGAUUAUAAUAUUGGUACAAAAAUCGGAUUAUCAAUGUAUUUAAACAUGUCAUUAUAUUAAGAUUAUAUAAAUAGUUAUAUAUGUGGUUCUUAUAGGCUUACAUACGACUAUCUAUUGUAAUAUAGUAUUAGAAUUCGUUCUAUAUCUUAAUUAUGACUAUAUCAAAUUAAUCUCUAUAUUGCUAAUAUAUUAACAUUAGGAUUCUAUGUCCUAAUCUUAAACUAUGUUAGCACUCUCUAUAGUAUUAACUACUAAGGUAGAAAUUCCUUAUCUAGAUUUCAAUAAUUAAAGGCUUUAAAGGGUAAAAUUGAGUCAAAUUAAGUCGAAUUGCUCAUUUGUCAAAUCACAAAUCUUUUCUUUAGUUUUGUAUGGAUAUGUUUUGUCAAUAUUUAGGAAUCUUUAGAUCCCACAUCAAUUUUCAUGAAUUAUCUGUUCAGUUUUCCCACUGAAAAAGAAAGGAUAAGAUCAAGAACCAACCAAUCAAGCCAUCAAUUUUUUGAUGCAAUUGAAAAGUAAAAUAUAUUCUCAAACUAUUUUUUAUAAUAUUAUCACAAAAAGUCAUAUUUCUUAUGGGUUUCAAUUUUUUUUUAAUAAUAAUAAGAAAAAAACUUUUUGAGAUAAUAGUUAUGAAUUGAGUGACUAUCCGAGAAAUCAACUCAUAAGUACAACAAAAGAAGUUUAAGGAAUUUUUCUUUAAAAAAUAAAUGGGCUUUCAGCCUAGUUGUUUUUCGUACUUUAGUAACCUGGAUUAAUUCUUUUGAACAAAUGGCAGCUUAUAUUUUAACUAUAUACUUAUCUUCCAUAGAUGAUAAUCACUUUUAAUACAUAACAUAUAUAUCAUAGUAUUGCUAUGUCUUACUAUAAAUGAUACUCCAUAAAUAAAAAAUAAUAUCACUAAAAUCAGCGAUUAUUUAUUAAAAAGUACUUAUUCAAGUAAUAUUUUCAAAUUAAUUUGUGGCUUGACGGGCUGAAUUGAGAAAGCAAGAUGAAGUCCAUAACAACUCGAUGAGAAACCCAGAGAAGAUCAUGAAUCAAUUCUUUUCUGUAUGCUGUUACAGUAUCCACGUUUAUUUUUUAAUUUUUAAAAGUUUCCUAAAAGAGUAAAGAUAAUCGUCCAUAAAAAGUAAGGCUCGCUAUUAACUUAGAAAAUAAGCUAAGUUCUAGCUACAAUAGAUUAAAUUAAUACUGGUCAUACUGGCAUUCGGAGUGUAGUCAAAUAGUCAAUGAAAUAAGAGACAACUAUGAGAACUGAGGUUCAAAUUUCAGUGGAGGAAGAAGCACAAGGUGAUUAUUUUCAUUUGCAUAAAUCUUGUAGCAGAAUAACCCGAUAUAUAUGAAUACCUGCUGAAAUAAUUGAGAUACACAUAAGCUAAUCUGUACGCACAAUCAUAUAAAUAAUAAAAAAUAGGGAGUUCGCUUUAAAAUUGGUUUUCCUCUGCUCACCCUCAAAUCGUUUACUCAUCCAUUGAGCAACUCACCGUAAUGCAUCAAUACUAUUGCUUGCUUGUGUGUGUUAGCAAAUUUUAUUUGCAGAGUACAAUAUAGUUUUCAGAGCAACUGUUUUCCUAGUUAAUUUUCGAGUGAUCUGGCUAUAUAAUUUUUACCCGCCUAGUCAUAACAGUUUGGAGUCGUCGUGAAUAUUUAGUAUAUAAUAAGUGCAUAAAUUCAAAAGCUCUUGAAUCUCACUAUAAGUUAAUUUUCUCUAAUGAAAAUAGCUAGUAAUACCCGUGUUUAUAAUUGGGCAAAGCCUAAUUGAACUAAUACUAGAAAACCUAUUAUACAAAUAGGUAGAGUGUUGAAAAAGUUACUACUAGCAAGAAUUUGUUUCUCCAUCUGAUAGUUGAAUAGGUGGUUCUUCGUCCUUGUUUGCUUCAAUUAUAUCGACUGACCUCGUUGUUGACAAGAAGCUAGGUUGAUUGGUUGAAGAUAGAAGUUGCGCCCACAUCAUGUCUGUAAUGUCAACCUUGUUUUGCUUCUCAUUGAUCCUAUCAAAGGGUAUGUAAGCAUGUGUGUUGUUGACAGGACCAACCGUAAAGCCUGUGUACCCAGCCAUUGCUCCAUGUACAGCGCUUUGAGCAAGAUGAGUGCAAUACACAUUGUCAGAUGCAUUACUUGCAAUAGCCCGAAUCAUGUAUGUCGGAUCUAUAUAUUUAAGAUUGAUCAUCAUCUUCUUUUCUUUCGAAAAAUGCUCCUUUAUCUUUUUCGAUAUCCAUAAACCAACAUCAACUUGCUCAUCAUCUUGUCUGGCACCUUCAGCUACAACUAUAACCAUUGUGUCCAUUCUCUUUCAGCCUUCCUUCAAGAUAGUAAUGAGAUUCUGGAAUCAAACAACAAUCAACAGCUCGACUAGCAAGACUAGCAUACAUCGCUAUGAAACCACUAUCUAUCCCGUCCCAUUAACUUCAGAACCCCAAUUCCAUUCUCAACUCAUAGCUUCAACAUGAGCAGCACGUUGGGCUUCCUCAACCGCGGAAUCAAAACCAAAAGACUUGUCAAUAAUUGGUAUAUCAUUAUCGAUUGUCUUGGGGAUUCCAACAACUACAACAUUCAGACUACACCUUGUAAUUUCCUCAAAUAACACCGAUGCUCCUUUCUGUGUUCCAUCUCCUCCAAAUAUAUAAACCUGAUUAAUUCCCCGAUCCUGAAUGCUAUCUACUAUUUUCUAGUAACAUGACCUCCUCGAUAUCAUUCACAACCUUAGGUGUCAAUGGAAUUGUGUUCUUUGAAUAGAAACCUCGAUAUCUGUAUUGAGACCUCCACAUGUUACGAUACAUGAGUUAACAUCGUCCAACUUAAUUAAAAUAAACGUUUUGGCAAGGAUCAGCUCGACGGAAAUGUAUCCCUCUUGGACUAUUCUUACGGACAAUAAUAUUUUGAGCAACUGUAUCAUCUUCAUCGACAAAAUACAGAUUGACGACUGAGUAUGAAGGAUUGUUCUUCAAUGGAUUAGGUUAUGUAGGAAGACUAGGAAUAUAAUCAGACAAAUGAGGAACACCUUCAAGAACAUAACCAUCGUCACCCAUCACAAUUUUCUUGUUCAAAUUAUGUACCACUAUACUAUCAUCUAAUGAUCCCAUAAUUCAAUUCAAUUCAAUUUGAAGGAAAAUAUUUUCUUUAUAAACUCAAAAUUCUCUUAAAGUACUAAUAAACCAAAUUAAAGUAGGAUUACAAAACAUAUUCCAGUAGGAAAUAAAACAAAUAAAAUACCAAAUAUAGUAACAAAUUAGGAUUCGCAUUAUGGUAAGUUAUCUAAUACUUUUUUAUGCACGGUAAACGAUAUAUAAGUAAAUAUUUUCCAUGUCGUCACCUCAAGAGUUUUUGAAAGAAUGCAUGCAUCCAUUAUCAGUCAACGGACCAGGUCCCUUGACUCAACAAAAACAGUAAUGAAGAGUAAAUGAUAAAGAAAACACAACACAAGCAGUUUACGUGGACACCUCCUUGCUCAAGAGAGUAAAACCACAACCUGUCUCAUUGGAUUUUCAAUUGUUUCCACUAAUCUCUUCAAGCAAAAGUGAAACACAGUUACAGCCAAAGUGAUCAGAAGAAGUUAUUAAUCUCACAACUAAGUAAUAACUCUAUUACUUACUGAGUCUAAGCAGAUACCACACUGCCCACUAAGCUAUCACCACUAGACAACUUAGAAUUCAACUAAGCAGUUAUCACACUACCCACUAAAUCAACUAACUCCUAGAUGACUUAGAAUUUUCCUAAGCAGAUACAACACUGCCCACUAAAUCAGUUAGCCUUAACUGAUUUAGACUUUUACAGAUGAACACAAGAUAUGAAUCCUUUAUAGAUUAGGAAUAGAUUUACAAUGUAAGUACGGAAGAUAUGAUCCUAAGACAACUAGACAACUUCCAGCUCUAUCAGGUCCCUGUUGCUCUUGAGGAUGAUACUUCUUGAGAGUUAGCCUUUGCAAGAGUUCUUGAGAGUUUUCAAGUUGCAAAAACUUAUAAAAUGAUAGACACAAAACUCAAACUCAAACAAAGAUGCUUCAACACUCUAUCAGGUCCCUUUGUUGAGUAUGACUAUUGUUCUUCCUUGAAGAUGGCCUUCCUUUCAAGCUUAUGACUUUCAGAGAAAAUUCAAGUUUUUGUUUGCCAAAUAUUGAGUUUGUAUUUUGGAGAAGAGACUUUAUCCAAAAUGGACACAAACCCUUGGGACGAGGCUAUUGUCUGAGAGCCUGCUGUCAUGAAAAGCUGUGCACCAACCACAUCAGAGUUGACAGCUUUUUUUCGUCCUUUUCUCGUACGCAUACUUUCUGGGAUCAGGUCCCUUGCUGCAUUCUUUGAUGCUUGAUUUCUUGAAAAAGACUUGCUUGCUCUCUCUCUUCUUGAAUGAAUAAUGUUGUUUGUUUAUUGUUGUAUAUAUCAGUUAUCAACAAGGGUUUUAACCACUUAAACAAACAACUUCGUCUGCCCUUCCUAUUGGUGAAGUACGCUGCACAUCUUACUAACCAACCUGACAAGACAACUGUAAAGAUAGCUUUACAGUUGUGCACCACUUUAAAUCUGGACGGAAGUACUUUGCCAAGGAUCGGGUCCCUGCAUUUGUGAGGAUCAUCAAAACACUAGAAUAUAACAGUUUUGUUGCAAAAACAACAACUGAUCUAUCUUGUGUCUAUAUUUGGUAUCUUUCUUCAAAGUACAACCAAUUUGCUAAGAUUCUCUGUGUACAUUUACAAUUUUAUCAUAGGCCCCAAUUCUCUAUUUUUAUCUCCAAAUAUAGAGAGUUUCUAUAUUUGUAGAAAAUCAACUUCAAUCCAAUUUUCUAUUUUUCACUUCGGAAAAGAAUUUUCUUCUCUCAAUAUUAUAUUUUUAUUUUUGUUUCAUAAAGUAAAUCAUUUCUUCUUUUUUCCAAAUAAUCAUCGUAUAUAAUUCAUAUUCUUUUCAAAUGUACUUCUCAUAUUCCAUUUUUAACUAUUGCAUCAAGCUAUCAGCUAUCCUCAUACUCAUUAAAAAAUGUAGUUUUAUAAUGUAUCAUAAUAAAAUAAAAAUAAAUUGUUUGACUUAUUUUAAAUUUUGUGCAUUUUUCGUAGUGAAAAAUAAUUAUAAUUGUCCUCUGGUUCACUGAUUUAAUGACGGGCAAAUGCAGAUUGGCUCAAUCUUUCUGUGGAUGUUCAUCGUUGAUAUCAUUACUUUUGGAUCGUUUUAACUUUGAUGCUAACGUAGUCAUAGCGUGGAAGCCUCUAAAGAGCAUGAAAUUGAGGAUUUUUUUCCAGCAUCUACAGUGUCUUGCAUUUGUGAAAAAAUAAAGAAGAAUAUGUAAAAUCUACAUUCAUCCUUUCUUAGCCAAAUGACAUCUCUCCUUGAAUAUUUCGCCUUUUUACUUAAAAAUAUGUUUUAGUUAAUUAAUUAUUAUUUCAUUAAAUGCAUUUUUCAAGUAGUGUGAUUUUAUUCGUUUCCAUCCUUUUAAAAUGACAAAUUUAUCACCUCCCGAUAUAAUACCUUGAUAUCAUCGACAAAGUUUUCAAAACACAACAUUUCAUAAGAUAUUCUGAAAAAUGUGCACAACAGACAACAUCUAAAAUGCGACUAAGAAAAGUUUCAUGAGAAGCCAAACAACCAUAACAUUUGGUAUAUAUGUCACAAGGACAAGAUAACAGAAACAAAUAGUACUUAUUAGUUACAUAGACAAAUUCAAGAUUUUCACCAACAGCAGUAAACCAAAAACUAAAUACAAAACUGUUGCAUUCUUUAGUAUAAAUUCUGAAAGUUUGAGAAGGUCAUCAUUAUCCCAUUCAAUAUUCCCUUUCAAACACAUCUUCGAAGAACUGAAAACCUUAACAUUCUUGAGGUAGGGAAACCCGAAGCUUGACAGGAAAUGAAUAUCAGGCCAAAUAUCCUAACUCAAAUGCACAUCGCCUAAGAUCCAUCUGGAGAUCGAGAGAGGAUAUAGUCAAAUGAAAAAUCACAAUUCACAAAAGUUACAAAACAGUGAUUUCAUAUAGUACAAGUGUCUGCUACAAGAAAUUACAUUCUAUUUGCAAUAAUUGGGUAUUGACAUUAUUAUAAAUUGUUUAUAUUUUAAGUUUUUUUGUAAGUAAUUUUAUUCUUUCAUCUUAUAUCUUGGCAAUAAACCUAAUUAUGAGUUUUCGAGUUAUUGUCUGAUGUCUUAUAUAAAUAAAAAUUUAUUUAAUAACAUCUUUGAUUAGGUUAUUAUCGAGUUGCGAUAAUGUAUUCUUUCUAUUUCCUUUAACUAGUCUAGAAUAAACUUUGUACUCCUUUUGAAAAAAAUAUUUAUGAAGUACUUAAUUACUAACUCGGUUGCACAUAUUAAUUUAGAUUUGAAAUCUACCUUAGAUUACUAGUAUUCUUAUAAAUUUUGGGAAAUAAUUAAAUGAAUAAAAAAUCUCUAUUAAUUUGUUAAAAUAAAUAAAUAAAAGGAAAAAAUAUAUAUUUUUGAACAUUAGACUAGUAAAAUGGAACAAAGGGAGUGCUUGAAUAUAAUUUAUUCAUAUAAUUUGAUACCAAAGUUGUUGUCAUAGUUAUGUUGAGUGUCUCCGCAUGAGGCGUGGCUUUCAACAAGAUAGCUGCUCCAUAGAAAUAAAACUUUGUGAUACGCAAAUCCAGAGUUAGACAUUUGCAUUUCAAUUCUAGAAGCGACAUCUCUUCAAACUGCAUCAGUAGUACCUGAUGUGGUUAUCCCAAAGAAACUAGUGAAGGAUCGAGAAACCAAGAACAAUAAAAAAGGAAGAAAAAUUCGAUGUAAAUGUUAUGAAAAAUCUGACCAUCUAACAAUGUGGCUGGAUAGUAAAUGAAGUAUCCGACUUUAGAAAGUUGAUAGAAAGAUUGCAAAAGGUUAGGAUAGUUUUGUAUUAACGCUAGUAGUCGUUGUAUAAUGUGUAGAAGUUCUCAAGUUGUGUUAUAUUCUAAAUGCUAUCUCUUUAUGAUAUCUAUAUACCAAAAGAAAAUAAAUUCUUUAUGACAAAACAAACCUCGAUGUACCAAGUCCCAAUUGUUAACUCGGUUGCAUUGCUCAACUUUUGAAGAUAAUCUUGGAUGAGUUUCCUUAUAACUUGAUGCACUAGAAGCACCUUGAGCAAUCGAUGUGCAACUCAUUCGGAAAUUUAGCUUAGCACUUACCAUAGAGGAUAUAUUUUGGAGAGUUAUCAACCGAAGACCAUAGAUACUGCCACCUUUUGGAGAGAAUAGAAGUUGUGAAGGCAUCUUUCGUUGGCAAAAGGGAGAGAAUCUGGAUAAUAAGAGCGUCCGGUAACUUACUGAUUCUAUCCUUUUCAACUCUUUUGCUUCUUCGUUUCUUUGAGAAUGGAGGCAACAAAUCCAUCUUUUGGGUGCAGAAAGGCUAGCUAGGGUUUGAAUGGUUUUUCCUUUUCUAUCCAACACAAGUUUUCCCUUUGGGUUUUGCUGUUGUUUCACAAUGAAGACUAAAUGUACAAUGAAAAAUAAUUUAUUUUCUUUGUUUAGUUUUUGUUGUAGAAUGUACUUAGACAUGUCUACAUAUAAUGUAUAUAGGUAGAGAUGUUUAGGAAUUUUUCUAAUUUUGUUUCCUUAAAUAGAUUUACUUGAUUUUCUUUCCUAAAAUAGACAUGGAGGCCUUUUUCAAUCUAGACCUGAAUGAAUAAAGUACCAAAAACUCAUAAUGAUGUGCUAAAACCAUGAUCGAUAAGAACCAUCUACAUACAAAAGGGGUAUCGUUUAUUCUUCUUUUUAAGAAAUAAUAGAAUUAGAAAUUUAUUGAUGCAUCAACUACUCAUGACAACAAGAUAACUGAUAUUUCUCAAUAAGUACUUAAUUUGCAUUUAGAAAAUGAUAUCAUGCUAUACUAAGUUGUUUAGUGAUACCAUGUGAAUUCUCAAGAAUACAUUUUGUUGCAUAUAACAUGUAGCAGUUGCCUCAUGUUCGGUAAAAUACUCAACCUGACAAUAUUUUCUAAAAUUCUACUUCAUAUUUUAUGAUUUUAUAUAUACUCUCUCAGUCCACUUUUAAUUGUCAUGUUGCGCUUUUCGAAAGUCAAUUUGACUAAUUUUCAAAGUUAAAUUAGAUUUCAUCAAUUCGAUAUUUUAAACAAAAAUUUUAGAUAUUCAAAAACUAUACGAAAAGUACUAUAAAUUGCAAAUUUUUGCAUAUCAAUAUGAUGAAAAUACAUCGUAAAAUGUUAGUCAAAUUUUUUAUAGUUUGAUUCUAAAAAUGGAUAUUAUGAAAAUUAAAAAUGAACGGAGGGAGUAUCAUUUAAGUUCAAAUUCAUCAAUAUAGUCGAGAUUCAGAGGUAACACAACAUUCAAAAAUUCAUAGGAAAUCAAAUUUAAAAAGUCUAAUAAUGGGAAAAAACAGAGAAAAAAAAUACAACAUACACAUCCUUCUUAAUUAAUUAGUUAUUUUAUAAUAUACUAAAUUAAGUGUAGGAGUAAAAUGGUAUUUCAAAUUUUACUUUUGUGGCUUCCCACUUUUAGUAUAACUAGUUUCUCAACACGUGCCUUGCUAUGUGUCCCAUGCAAUAUUUUAUAAAUUCGUUAGGACGGUUAUAAUUUAUUGAAAACAUGUGUGUAAUGAGUACUAAAAUGCAACAAUCCCAAAUAAAUGCUAUGACAAUAAUUUUCUUAUUAAAACUAAAUUAAAGAAUACUAAUAGAGAGCAAAUAUAUAUAAAAAAUUAACAUACACAUCAUUCUUAUGAUUUUAAUCAGAACAAUAUAUACAUGGAAAAAGAAAUACAAAAUGGGUACAUAAUUUUUCGAGAUUUUGUCGACACCAUCUCUCUUAUCCAAUCAAAAUUCAAAAGUCUUUUCCAUCAAGUCAAACAAAAGCAUGAAUCAAAUAGAAAAAUCACUUCAUUUAGUAAAGUGAUAUAUAUAUAUAUAUAUAUAUAUAUAUAAUAUUUUCUAAUAAACUAUCCAAUUUUUUAUUUAUUUCAGUAAUUUGGUCUUCUAGGUUUUUAUUUAAUUCUAAUAAAGCAAAAAUUAUUAGAUUGUUUUGUUUUACGCUUAUUAAGUCUGUUUUACCUGGUGGAGUAUAAUUUGAUAAACCUUCAGGACUCGUUUGGUGUAAGGGAUAAUACCAAAUAGUCCCGGGAUUAAAUUAUAGUACCGCUUAUUUUGUUGUUUGGUUGGCAAGUUCGGGAUAACUUAUCCCGGGAUUAAUAAUUAGUACCGGGAUAAGUUAUCCCUCUCCUUGGGUGGUAUAGUAAUCCCGGGAUAACUUAUCCCGGGAUAAAAUAGGUAAAUGACAAAAAUGUCUCUUUCAACCCUUUUGUUGUAUCACUUUUUACCUUAAUGAAGGGCAUUUUUGUAAAUAAAUAAAUUGUUCUUAAAAUUUAUUAUUUUGAAUAUAACAAACCAAACACUCAAUAAAAAAUAAUCCCAACACAACUUAUCCCAUCAUAACUAAUCCCAACAUAACUUAUCCCAACAUAACUUAUCCCAUCAUAACUCAUUUUCAAACCAAACGACCCCUCAGGGUUAGCUUGAAAUUGUGCUAUUUUUCUAAGAACUUCUUUGUAAAAAAGACUGUUAUGAAAGGGUUAAGUCUUUAAGUUUACCUAAUUCUUUCUUAAUUUCUUUUGUUUCUUUAUAAAGGUUUUCUAGUUGACUAUUUAAUAUUUCUAGUGGACUAUUAUCAAUUAUUUUAUUUGCUACUAUGGUCUGUACUUUAGAAAUUAUAUCUAGUUGUUGAUUUUUUAGAAAGUCGAAAUUUUGUAUAUAUAUAUAUAAAUAAGACUAAGGUAGAUAUAUUAUAUACUUUAGAUGUUGAUGGCUUUCACUACUUUAACCUUAAAAUGAAAUGGAUAAUAUGUGUGAGUUUCAUUAAACAAAAAAGAUGAAUUUAUAUAGAUUAAAAUAGAGGAAUACCAAAAGACAUCUUAAAGUUUUAUAUUAAACAUUUGAAGGUUAUGAAUAUGAAAAGCAUGAAGGUUAUGGAUAUUAAGAAUGACAAUUGAAUAGGUAAUUAGAUAUAAGUUAUGAAAAAUAUAUUUAUUUAAAACAAAUAAAGAAGAAUUUUUUUUAUAAAAAAUGUAGAUAAGAAAAAAGAUAAGUGCAAAUAAUAUUUAAGUGUAACACCACUAACAGUGGAAUUUCAAAAGGCCAAAAUAUUAAAUAUAUGCAAUUAAACCUUCAAAAUAUGGAAGAGUAAACAAUCCGGCUUCCUAUGAGCACAUGAACUCUCUAAUUACUUGAUGUGGUAAUUGAUUAUCACUAAUAUUUAAACAUGUAAUUAACUAAAUAUUUAUAAUAUUUUAAUUUAGUGUUAGGGUAAAAUGAUAUUUCAGCUUUCAACUUUUUUUGUUUCCACUUUUAGUAAUAUAUGAUAUCACUAAUAUUUAAACAUGUAAUUAACUAAAUAUUUAUAAUAUUUUAAUUUAGUGUAGGGAUAAAUGGUAUUUCAACUUUCAACUUUUUUUGUUCCCACUUUUAAUAAUAUGAUGAUAUGAUGAUGAAGCUUAGUGCAAAAUUUUCAAAUUGUCUAUCAAAGAUUAACAACUUAAAAGUUGUAACUUAAAAAUCAACAGAAAUAUACUUUGAAUCCAAUAGUACCUGAUAGAAGCUCUAUUGAAACAAACAAAGAGAUCUAAUCAUACAUGAGGCGAUGCUCCCAACAUGAUAGCUGCGCGCUCCAUAGAAAUAAGACUUUGUGAUAAGCAAAUCCAGAGUUAGACUUUGCAUUUCAAUUUUGGAAGCGACAUCUCUUCAAACUGCAUCAGUGGUACUGAUGAGGUAAUCCCAAUGAAACUAGUGAACGAUCGAGAAGCCAAGAACAAUCAAAAAGGAAGAAAAAUCCUAUCUAGACUGAUAAUUUUAAGCCAAAUCUGACCAUCUAACAAUGUAGCUGAAUAGUAGAAGAAGUACCCGACUUUAGAAAGUUGACUGAAAGAUUGCAAAAAGUCAAGAAAGUUUUGUAUUAACACCAGUAGUAUUUGUAUGAUGUGUAAAAGUUCUCAAAAUUGUGUUAUAUUCUAAAGGGGCUGCUAUCUCUUUAUGUUAUCUAUAUACCAAAAAGCAAAUGUAUAUAAUUAUCUUAGUGAAAAAAAAAACCUCAGUGAACCAAGUUCCAAUCGUUAACUCGGUUGCAUAGCUCAAUUUUUGAAGAUAAUUAUCUUCGAUGAGUGUCCUUAUAAUUUGAUGUUCUUCAGGAUGACAUGUGGCACUAGCACUAAAGGUACCACUAAAAGUACCUCGAGCAAUCCAAGCACAACUCAUUCGGAAUGUAACCUUAGCACUGACCACAGAGGAUACAUUACUAGCCUACACCAGAGAUCAUACAUAUCUUCAGAGAUCUCCAAAUAUUGAAUAUGUGGGGCAAAAAUAUUCAAAGACAGAUCAUCAGAGUCAUCAUAUAUCGUACGACAAAUAAUCUUCAAACUUAAGCCUCUUUAAAUUUGAAGAAUUGGUUUCCAAAUGAUGCAAUCCGCAGAAUUCAGAAAAUUCGAGGAUUUCCAAAACAGGACAAUUUCUUCAUCAUAUAACUUCAUGUCUUUCAACUUUAAGGUGUUUAAACACUUCCAUCGGGAGAUUGGGAGCAAUAAUUCAUCAUCAACAAAUUCAAGUUGUGACUCAUAUUUGGACAGGUGGGUGAAAUCAUGAUGGAAUUUUUUAAACUUGGAGAAAGUAGAAUGAUCUAACGCAUAAUCGACAAAGGAUAUAAAGUUUUCCCUUUGUGAUUUAUCUUCACACUGGAUAAAGAAAGUAUCAACUCAAGGCCAUAGAUACUGCCACUGUGAAAUUAUAAAGUUGAUUUUUUGGAACUACAAAAAAUCCUAGAUUUUUAGGAAAGUUUCUAGAAUAAUAUAGUGUAGUCACUUGGAUACGUAUCUUGUAGAAAUAUCUAGAUAUUCUAGAGUAGAAGAUAAUGUUACUAGAUUUUUCUUGUAGAUGUUCUAAAGGAAUUAUAUAUUUGUAGAGAAUUAUGGAAUAGUCUAGAUUUUGUAGUAUCUAGAACCAUCCAUUGGUAAGUAUAAAUAGGGGAUGGAAUUGUAGAUUUGUAAAUAACUUAAGAACAACCCAAAUAAAAGAGUUUUCUUCCGUAAACAAGUUCUCCUUUUCAGCUUCCUCUUCUUUAGUUGAAUCUUCCGAUCUUAGUUAACGAUCUUGGGCUAGCAGAAGGUUCCCCGAUUUUACUUUUCUUCUGCUAUUCUCUACAUGGUAUCAUAACCAUAGCCGUAGAUUGGCUUGCGGGUGUUAUUUCAAGAUCAGGUUGGUGGUAGAUUCAACUAGUUUGUGUAGAUGGAUUUUAGCGGUCGUGUUAAUGGACUAGGGAUGGAGUUGUUGAAUCAUUCCAAUUACAAGGUAUGAAGACAUGUAUGGAAUCAUACCUUGUGGGAGGAUUUGUGGAUGUUGUUAAUGGGAAUGACACAAGUCCUCCUGCUGACGGAUCAGAAAAUAACAGUGCAUACACGAAGUGGAAGCAGAUUAAUGAGAAAGCGGAGUUCAUUCUGAAGAGGACAAUCUCUUUCGAUUUUUUUGAUCUUAUUAUAAGGUGCAAAUCAACUCAUGAAAUAUGGAGGACCCUCGAUCUCUUGUUCUACAAGAAGAAUGAAUCUUGGCUGCAGAUAUUGGAUAAUGAAUUGGCUAACACCACUUAAGGUAACCUUUCUAUCUCUGAGUAUAUUUUAACGAUUAAGAACUUAUGUUCUGAGAUAUGCUUAUUGAAUUCGAAAGAAGCUAUUUCUGAAGCACGAAUGAGAAGAAUAGUCAUUCGUGGGUUGAAACCUGAAUAUAUUCCAUUUGUGACGUCAAUUCAAGGAUGGACUCAACAGCCAUCCUUGGAGAAAUUUGAAAUUUUUUUGUCGUCACAGGAAUUACUAGCCAAGCAGUUGGCUAGUGCGUUUGUAAAAUAUGGAGAAGGAGAUGCUCUUGUAGCUGACAAGAGAAACUUCAAAGGAAAAUCAAGAGAUAUGUUGCACUCUCGAUCCUCAGGUGAUUCAAGCUUUCCUGAAAAGAAGGAAGAGUCUUCUAACUAUUAUGGUAAGAAGCCUCUUAGAUACAAUCAGUGUGGCAAAAUAGGAUACAUAAAAAGAUAUUGUCGAGCCAAGGAGAGUAACAUGCCUCAAAAGGUUACCAAAGAAGAAGAAGAAGAAGAAGAGUGGGAAAAGUGUUUAGUAGCUGAGGCUCGAGCAAUAGAUGCUAUGGUUUCUAUCAACCUUGAAAAAGACUGGAUCUAGGAUUCAGAAUAUAAUGCAGUCAAUCACGUGGCGAAGCAAAAUAUUGAUGUCAUCAGUAUGAAGCAAGAAACUAUUAAAGAUAUUCAUAUUGGUGAUAUAGUAGCUUCUAUCGAAGAAAUCAAGGAAAUAAAUUCUGAACAAGCAGUGUCUGGAGCUAUAUAUGCUGAUGGUGACCUUUAUGGAGAAAGAUUGAGGAAAAUGUAUGGGAAGUUGAAGUCUCUGAUCAAUCGCCAGCCAUACCGAUGUCAGUCAUUGGCUUAGAUCAAAUACUGUAAGCAAAUGGAGAUAAUGAAUAUCAAAUAGAUAAGGAAGCUGACCUUAAAGGCCAAAUCUUAGGCGGAACGACAGACGACAUAACUUUCGAAAGCUCUAAAGUUGCUAAACAUGUUAUUGAAGAAUUAGAAAGGGAAUCUGGUGAUGGAUCCUCUUAUGGUGCUGAGGCUUCACAGGAAAUUGACCAUUAUCACUAACUCAAAUAAGGAGGCUUAUAUGGACGAAAGCUCUUUUUGUUAUAAAGUUGCAGGUUCCAAAAUCUUGAACCUUGGAGUUCCAAACUUGCCUAUCACAAAUGUUUACAUGGACUAUUCGAUAACGGAAAAUCUUUAUCAUUUGAAAAAUCAAGAGGGGUCCGGAAGAAACUGCUAAGAUUUGCACCAAGACGUGGUUCAAAGCUUCGUUUGAGUUCUUCCGCUACAAACUCAGGGUAGUUUUCAAAAAAUCACUUUAAGGGGGAGUGUGCAAUUAUAAAUUUGAUUUUUUGGAACUACAAAAAAUCUAGAUUUUUAGGAAAGUUCUAGAAUAAUCUAGUGUAGUCACUUGGAUAAGUAUCUUGGGGCAAUGAAUUAUAGGUGACAAAUAAGAGUUGAAAUGUAAAAAGAGUGACUCAAGUUUUAAUUAUUAAGUGAAGGUGACAAACUUGUAAUCAACUUUUAAAAAUAAUUGACUUUUUCUUAAUAAGACCUCAAGUUUUUAUUUUAACACUUUCACCCAAAUUUUAACUAAAACCCUAAUUUCUAAAAGAGGAAAGCCCAAAUCAGUCUUUUUUUCUUCUUUUAACUUCCCACUCAAAGCUCUUAUAUUUCUCUAGCUUUUUUUCUUCUUCCUCCUCCUUCUUUUUGUUGUUCUUUUGUUGGUAUUGCAACUUUUUGUAGAUUUCUUAUUUGAAGAAUUUGAGAUGGAAAAAUCUCAAAUUUUAGAUUAACAUGUGAUUUGAAAAGGUUUAAGCUUUAGAAAUUACAUAAUGAGUAAUUUUCAAUCAUUUUAAUAAGUGAAUAGUAUUGUUUUGUGUGUAUUAUUCAUUUAAAAUUUUGAUUUUUGUAUUAUUGUUCUUGCCACUGAUGUAUAAUAAUUUUCAGCAAUUUACAACAAUUACUGAAUAAUUUGGUUGUUGAAUAUAUUUCAGCAACUACUAUAUCUAUUUCAGCAGCUGCUGUAUAACUUACAACAAUUGUGAUAUUUUAAUAAAAUCUUUUUUAUGAUCAAUUUUUUUGUACAAAGUUAUAAUAUUUUCAGGAGAUAGAAGAUCAGUAGGGGUUGAUUGUCAUGGUGAAUUGGUUGAGUCCAACAAUCAUCAUAUUUGGCGUUGGAAGAGUAAAGAAUCGGCCUCGACAAUUGCGAUGAUUGUGCAUCGAUAUAUCACAUAUGAUGAUUUUGCAAAUAAAAUCAUUAUUUGUUGUAAAUUAAAUUGUGAGUUGGAAGACAUUGUCAUCACUUAAAUGCACAAUUGUGGUGAGAAGUACAACAACUUUUGUACUUGUUGUAGAUAAUUUCAUCAAUUGCUAUAAAAAAAAGACAACUUGCUUAAUUGUUGUAAGAAAUUUCAGCAAUUGCUAUUAAAAGUACAACAAUUUGCUUAUUUAUUGUAGCAAAUUCAAAUAAAAUUACAAUCAAUUCUAGAUUUUCUUUUUAAAUUAGCCAAAAUAAUCAUAUUUAUUAUUAAAUAUGAUUGAUAUAACUAAUUAAUGAUCAAUUUUUUAACUUAAGAUGAUUACAUGUGAAAUUAGUUAAGUGGUCAUUUAAUAUCUCAAAUUACCAUCUUUUUGUGUAAGAUUACUAUCAAAUCUACAUUUUAUUUAUAGUUGGACCAAGACUACUCUAUUUAUCAUUACAUAUUGGUGUUAUAACCAAUAAACGAUCAUUUACUCAUUAUAAAUUGAUUACAUGUAAAAUUAAUAUAGAAUUGAUCGACUGGUAUCUCAAAUAACUGUCUCAUUAUACAAGAUCACUAUCUAAUGUAAAUUUUAUUUUUAAAUUAGAUCAACACUACUCUAUUUAUCAUUAAAUAUGAGUGUUACAAUCAAUUACCGGUUAAUUAAUCAAUUAACUUGCGUACUUGUUAAAGAUGUUUCAACAAUUGUUAUAUAAAGUACAAUAACUUUCUUACUUGUUGUAGAAAAUGUCAGCAAUGCUAUGCAAAGUACAACAAUUUUUGUACUUGUUGUAGAGAAUUUCAGUAAUUGCUAUAAAAAAUAUAACAACUCAUUUAAUUGUUGUAGAGAAUUUCAGCAAUUGCUAUAAAAGUACAACAAUUUGCUUAUUUGUCGUAGCAAAUUCAAUUAAAAUUACAAUCCAUUCUAGAUUUUCUUGUUAAAUUAGCCAAAAUCAUCAUAAUUAUUAUUAAAUAUGAUUGAUAUAACUAAUUAACGAUAAAUUUAUCAAUUUAAGUUGAUUACAUGUGAAGUUACUUAAUUGAUAUUUUAAUAUCUCAAAUUACUAUCUUUUUGUGUAAUAUUAUUAUCAAAUCUACCUUUUAUUUAUAAGUUGAAUCAAGACUACUCUAUUUAUCAUUACAGUCACGACCCGAGUCUACACCCUGGACGUGGCUGGCACUCAAGAACCAUUGUUGGUCCCCAAGCGAACCCUCAUCCUGGCUGACUACAAACGGAAGACUAACUUAAGCAUGCAAAAACUUAAAACUGAAUAAAAUUCAAUAAAACUCAAACUUUUCAAAACUUUAACUCAAAUGAACAACUUAGAAUAAAAAUAAUAUAUUCAACUCGCCAUAAAAUAGGCAACUUAAGUCUUUAAAACAUUUAGUAAGAUAAAUGAAUAAGCAUUUUGAAACUCUACUGUCUAUUUAUGAAGUCUCUAACUAACAAAGAUGGAAGUCGGGACAAGACCCACGACAUUCUAACAACUGAUAUAACUGAAAGGUAAAUGAAAUCCUCCAGAAGCAAGGAGGCUCACCAUAGCUAACUCGAACUCUCGGAUGUAUCAACGAAACUCCUGUUGAUGAUCAUGAAUACAUGUGUCUGCAUCAUGAGAAGAUGCAGGCCAAAUGACUCAGUACGUGGAAUGUACGACCAUGUAAGAGGAAUUCUAAAGCAUAAACAUAAGCUUGAAACUUGAUAAAAGGAACAUACUUACCUCUUCUCAAACUUACUCAACUCAAGGAAUACUCAAGGAUACUCAAAACUACUCAACUUACUUAACUCAGAAGUACUCAAGGAUAAGAUACUCAACUCAGAGAUAAGAUACUCAACUCAAAGAUGUGAUAUUCAACUUGAAAUACUCAACUCAUGAUACUCAAGGAUAAUGCAAUAGUAAAANNNNNNNNNNNNNNNNNNNNNNNNNNNNNNNNNNNNNNNNNNNNNNNNNNNNNNNNNNNNNNNNNNNNNNNCUCUCCCCCAUAUCAAUGUUCAAUACUACUCCCAAAAAUAUACUAGCUCUUAUGUUUUAAAAACAUACUUCUUUUUUGAUUUGAUAUUAGUGCUCAAAAACUUACCUCAAAGGCUAUCUUGGAAAUCAAGGUUUCCCCUCUUGCUUCAUUUAGAAAACAAUUACUCUUUUCUGAAAACUAUCCCGAAGGCUCAUUGAAAAUCUCAGUUUCCGUUCUUAUUUAAAUGUGAAAACAUUUUAAAUCUCUUUGGGAAUACUUAGUCCCUAUAUACUUUUGAAGAAAUGAACUUCAAACUUUACUCUUUACUCUUUACUCAACUCAAAACUUAAGUCUUAAAACAAAGUUAAAAUGUUUGUAAAAGACUUCUUAAAAUAUGGUUCAUGUAGAAUUAUGGAUAUGAACGACUCAAGGCAAGGUUUUUCAAUAACACAUAGAUAGACCUCAAAUACUUGGAACUCAAGAACUUCAAUGAUACCACUAAUUUCAAGAAUGCUCAACUCAGAGGGUUCAUGCGGAAUUUAUGAGCAUGAACUACUCAACUCAAGGACUCAAAGAUACUUCUCAUCUCAAGAUUGUUCGACUUAUAAUGUUCAUGUGGAAUUAUAGGCAUGAACAACUCAACUCAUGGACUUCAUGGGUAAUAGGUAAUAGUCCCAUGAUUAGGAUUAUAAUCUCAAAUGGGUUAGAAACUCAAUACUUAAGACUUAGGACAUGAAGAUAUUACUCCUCUCAUAGAUACUCAACUUAUGGAGUUCAUCCGGAAUUUAUGGGAAUGAGCGACUUGACUCGAAGGUCUACAAACUACAUGGAACUCAUGUAUACGACACUCAACUUUAAACUCUUGACUCUUUACUCUUUACUUGACUUGCAACUUGAGCCUUAGGAUGAAGUGAAAACGUUCAAUAAAGACUCUUUGAACAACUUUGAAAACUUGCUUGAACUUACCCCUUAACCUAGCUUGACUUGACUCUAACUUCACUUGAUUUCUAACUUCACUUGACCUUGAUCCUAACUCACCUUGAAUUGGAUUAUGGAUUCAAGGGUAAUGAUCUCAUGUUUACGACACUUCUCAUUCUCUUACUCACUUGCUCGAGUCUUGAAACAAGUUACUAGAAGUUGUAGAAGACUCAACAAAAAGACUCCAAGGGACUUUCUUAGAAUGUUCAAAAGAAUUCUCAAAACUUAACUCUCAACUCUACCUUGAAUUUGAAUUAUGAAUUCAAGGUUAUGAUCAUGUUAGGAAUGAUUUUAGGUGCUUAGAAGUAGCUUAGAGUAGUUAGAAUCGAAAAGGAGUGAAGGUGCACUUUAAACGAACUCAAACGGGGCAAUCGACGACAAACUGGAUGGGGCAGGCGACCCUGGCGCUAUGGGUGGAGCGGGGUGCCAACCCCUAAACUUCAGAGGAGGGUUUGGGGUGCUCUGGCUGGCGCAUCACGCCAGGCCCCAACCCAGAAAAUCCAACAAAAUUCUUUGCUCGUUUUCUCACCCUAUUUCGCCUAGAAUCAAAUGGUUUCUUCCCCAAUCACUUGGAUUCGAUUACUUAACAUAAGUACACUUUAAUCUACUCAAUACAGCCCUAAAAACAAUCACUUUAAUCUCAAGAAAAUCAUCAAAACCGAACACAACAAGAUUUAGAAUGAACUUUAAGAACACCUAUCAAUAACUCAUCAAGAACUCAAAUCUUUCAACUUCAAGAAUGAAAUUUGCGCUGAAAAUAACAUGUUUGGCAUGUGGGUGAACAAACCCAACACUAUGGAAACUUACAUACCUCUUAGGGAUCAAACCCAUGGCAACAACCCGCAACAACUCUCAAGAAUCUCGACAAACGCUUGAUCCUCUCCUUUUUUCUCUUCUUUUCUGUUCUUGAACUCUCAACUAAAACCCUAGGCUAAUUUUAGGAUUAUAAAACUGAACCUAAUAGGAUUAGACCCUUAAAACCUUACUAAAAACGAAUUAAAUCUGAUUGGGUAAGGAAAAUACCAAAAUACCCCUCUAAAAUCAGGUUUUGACUUUCCUUAUCUAGACAGCCCAACUUCGAAUGGACAUAUCUCCCUCAUACGAUACCAAAAAUGAGAAAACUCGGUGGCGUUGGAAAGAUAAUUUAGAGGUAUUUCCAACGGUAUCUGGUAGCACACCUAACUCAUCCUGAGCUAGGAGUUAUGAUCGUUUAAAGUCAACCCAUACUUAGCUUAACUUGCAAAAUUUCAGAUUUUUGCUAUGUCCAAUUUAGUUCUUUUUGAAACUCAAGGUGCUACAUCUAGUGACCUGACCUUAAUACUUAAGAAAUUUUAAAUUCCUUAGUAAAAUCCUACUCACAACGAAGGACGGUUCAAGUCUUAGCUCAAAAAUUUUCUGGGGUGUUACAAUUACAUACGAGUGUUAUAACCAAUAAACAAUCAUUUACUCAUUAUAAGAUGAUUAUAUGUGAAAUUGAACUAUCUCAUUAUACAAGAUCACUAUAUAAUGUAAAUUUUAUUUUUAAAUUAGGUCAACACUACUCUAUUUAUCAUUAAAUAUGAGUGUUACAAUCAAUUAACAGUCAAUUUAUCAAUUCAUUUGCUUUACUUGUUAAAGAAAAUUUCAGCUAUUGCUAUAGAAAGUACAACUACUUUCUUACUUGCUGUAGAAAAUUUCAGUAACUGCUAUAAAAAGUACAACAACUUUUCAGUAAUUACUAUGAAAAAUUCAGUAAUUUUCAUACUUGUUGUACUGAAUUUCAGCAAUUACUUUAAAAGAAAGCAAAAAAUGGGUCAAAUCCUCUCCUUCAACUAGUUCACUAAGAAAAUCACUAUUCUUUUUCGAUAAUCUCAACAGCACAAUCAAUUCAAACUACUAUUCAAAACCCAUGAAUAUCAAAGUCAACUAAAAGAAAACAAAAAUAUCAAUUCAUCAAUUUCAAAAUACCAUAUUCACAAAAGUACAACAAAAGUGCAUUAAAAAUGUAGCAAAAUAGCAACAGAAUGCAUAUUCACAAGCAGCCCCUUCUUCAUUACGCUUUCAACUCCUUUUUGAAUUCGAAUCAACCCACUUCAUCUGUAAUAUUUUUAAAAAAUGAAUUUCACGUGUAAAAAUGAAAUAUAUAACACAAGAAAAAUGUUCGAAAGAUGAUUAGAAUAUAAUUUUACCUUUACUAUGCAUUAUCACCGGACACCAAUUCUCCUUUUUUGAAAUGAGUAUAUCAUCUUGUUUCUCCUCAACUGGUCUAUAAUCUCUUUCUACAUUUGUAGAAGAAACAUCUAUUUCAUGUUCUCAUUCUUCUUCUUCUAAAAAAAAAUUCAAACUUGUGUUUUCUACUUCUUCUUCUUCUCUUUGUCUUUGUGCAUUGAUUCUCCUUUUAUACUUUUUAGUAGGAGUUGUUCGUUUUUUCCUUGAAGUCAUGAUUUAAAACUAAUAAAAUCAAAAUGUAAUAAUACAAAACUACAUUCAUUAUCCAUUUAGAUAAUUUUGAAAGUUAAUUCAAAACCACAUAAAAAAAAAAAGGUAAGCUAUAAUAAAUGUAACAACUGUUGCUUUUCAAAAUUAUAUUAUAGCAGUUGUUGUCAUAAUCACAACACUUACUGUAAUACUCACAACACUUGCUAUAAUAAUCACAUCACUUGUUGUAAUAAUCACAACAUUUGUUGUAAAUACAGGCAUCAUCUUUCUAUGAACUCUUUCUAUGAUCUUAUUAAGUAAAAAAAUGUAAACAUAAAAUGCAAACAUAUAUGUUGAUGAACAGACAUGCAACCAGAUAACAUUUUUGAAGAGUUGGAACAACAUAGAUGUUGAUGAACAUUUUCGUGUGCUUAGACGAUUCUAAUAUAGUUACAUCUACUGCAAAGUAUCAAACAAAGUAAGGAAAAAAGGGAAAUAGUGAAAUCUUUCAAGUAAAAAAGAAAGAGUAUACUCAUGUUAAACAAAUGUCAAAAUCUAUUAGAGUUGCUAAAUUGAUGUGAUUACCAAAAUUCCAUCUGUCUUCUCUUCACAUUCCUUUUUAGUCCUAAAAACAAACUUUAAAUAUAUGUCCUUUGCCUCAAUUUCAUCUUAAAAACACAUAGUAAAUUCACUUAUAAGAUGAAGAGCUAUGUGGAAUGGUAUUCUAUCAUUAUUAUGUUGACGAUAGACUUUGCUUUAUCAAUUAGUAAUAUACUUUUCAAGAAGACUAUCAUGGAUGAUAUGAACCAUUUUUUAUUCUUUGCUUCAGCUUUUAACUUGAGUUUUGAUGAUUGAUUGAUAAGAGGAGUUUUCAUGGAAGCAAAAGAUUAUAAUUCAAAAAUAACAUAAAAAAUUAUAUACAAAAACAACUCAAUCGAUCUUCAACCUUUACAAUCUCAAAAUCCUAACUAUGAAAGAAAAGAAAAGAGUGUUACCUUGAGGGGUAGAUGAAGACGAUGGCGAAGAAGACAAAGAUGAAGACAACAAAUUGAAGUUGUCACAACUUGAGAGGAAGGUUGGGAAGUCGCAACAAUGGUCAAAUGGAGAAACACCAAAGGGCCGUAGUCGCAAAGAUACACGUUUUUGAGAGAAUGGGGAAGAAAAUUGGGAAUUAGGUUUAUUUGAAAUCUUUUAAAAGUUUAGAAGUUUUAAGAAUUACAUUUUAGACCCCAAUUAUCUUAAUCACUAAUGAAAUUUUUUUUGACUUUGAAUCAGUCAAACUUGUUACCAAUUUUAAUUUGAACUCUUUUUUGUCACCUUCCCCUCAAUUUUCCCAAGUAUAGUAAUAAAAAUUACAUUUUAGACCCUAAUUAUCUUAAUCACUAAUUAAAAAAAAUUUGACUUUGAAUCAGUCAAACUAGUCACCAAUUUUAAUUUGAACUCUUUUUUGUCACCUUCCCCUCAAUUUUCUCAAGUAUCUUGUAGAAAUAUCUAGAUAUUCUAGAGUAGAAGAUAAUGUUACUAGAUUUUCUUGUAGAUGUUCUAGAGAAAUUAGAUAUUUGUAGAGAAUUAUGGAAUAGUCUAGAUUUUGUAGUAUCUAGAACCAUCCAUUGGUAAGUAUAAAUAGGGGAUGACAUUGUACAUUUGUAAAUAACUUAAGAACAACUCAAAUAAAAGAGUCUUCUUCCAUAAACAAGUUCUCCUUUCUAGCUUCAUCUUAUUUAGUUGAAACUUCCGAUCUUAGUUAACGAUCUUGGGCUAGCAGAAGGUUCCCCGAUUAUACUUUUCUUCUGCUAUUCUCUACAACCACCUUUUGGAGAGAAUAGAGGUUGUGUCUUUCGUUGGCAAAAGGGAGAGAAUCUGAAUAAUAAGAGCAUUCGGCAACUUACUAAUUCGAUCAACUCUUCUCAUUUUGCUUCUUCGUUUCUUUGGGAUUUGGGAAUAGAGACCAUAGAUCCAUCUUUUGGGGGCUAGGGUUUUAAUUGAAUCUCUAUUAUUAGUGUUGAGCUAUAUAUACUCUUUUGGCUGCCGAAAGGCUUGCUAAGGUUUUGAUGAUUUUUCCUUUUCUAUCCAACACACCUUUUGGUUUUGAUGAUUUUUCCUUUUCUAUCCAACACACCUUUUGGUUUUAAUGAUUUUUCCUUUUCUAUCCAACAUACCAUUUGGUUUUGAUGAUUUUUCCUUUUCUAUCCAACACACCUUUUGGUUUUGAUGAUUUUUCCUUUUCUAUCCAACACACCUUUUGGUUUUGAUGAUUUUUCCUUUUCUAUCCAACACACCUUUUGGUUUUGAUGAAUUUUCCUUUUCUAUCCAACAUACACCUUUCCUCUUUGGGUUUCGUUAGGGUUUUAAAUUGAACGAACACAUGUGUUCAUGAAAUAGCAUGACUAUUAUGAAACAUUCACGGAAGAUCAAAUCAAAACGAACAAGUUGUGCAUUGGUGUUUUCUUUUGCAUGCCCGCUUCUGGAGAGCGCUGGUCGUUCGCGAUCAAGAGCUAUUUCUUUAAGUUUCAUGUAUAUAAAAUUUUCCCCAUCCAAUGCAUCUUGAGAAUCAAUGGAACUGGAUGGCUUAUUUUUCCAAGUCUUGUGGUUCAAAAGAUCUAUUUUCUGCUAUCUCGUUAUUUGCAGGUGAGCUUUGGAUUACAAUGGAAUUGGAUGACUUAUUUUCCAAGGCUUGUGGUUCAAAAGAUCUAUUUUUGUUUUAUCUUGUUAUUUGCAGGUGAACUUUGGAUUAUACUUCUCUGGAGUGCUAGAUAAUGUGGUGUGCUACUCGGAGCAUAUGCAAGAGAUGAGAGUUGCGAGGUCAAUUUACUAGAUUGAGUAUGAUCUAGCUCAAACCAUAAAUGAUACUGCUCAAAAUAGUUAUCCUUAAUUAUUGGUCUAAACAUAUCUUCUAGCAAUGGUACACAAUGUAGACGGACUGCAUUGUGUACCAUUGCCAGAAGAUAUGUUCAGACCAAUAAUUAAGGAUAACUAUUUUGAGCAGUAUCAUUUCUGGUUUGGGCUAGAUCAUACUCAAUCUAGUAAAUUGAUCUCGCAACUCUCAUCUCUUGCAUAUGCUCUGAGUAGCACACCACAUUAUCUAGCACUCCGGAGAAGUAUAAUCCAAAGUUCACCUGCAAAUAACAAGAUAAAAGAAAAUAGAUCUUUUGAACCACAAAACUUGGAAAAUAAGUCAUCCAAUUCCAUUGUAAUCCAAAGUUCACCUGCAAAUAACGAGAUAGCAAAAAAUAGAUCUUUUGAACCACAAGACUUGGAAAUAAAAAUAAGCCAUCCAGUUCCAUUGAUUCUGAAGCUGCAUUGGAUGAGGAGAAUUUUAUAUACAUGAAACUUAGAGAAAUAGCUCUUGAUCGUGAAUGGCCAGCGCUCUCCAGAAACGGGCAUGCAGAAGAAAACAUCAAUGUAGGGAUAAGUUAUAAUGAUGUAAACAUUGAUCAAGCAGGUUUUGGAUAGAAAAUUGUCUCUAUUCCAGGUUUUGGAAGACAAUUUCUCCUUCUAUUCAAGUUCAACAAAAUCCAGAAUGGAAGCUCUAUUGAAACUAAGGCAAAAUAGAAACCAUUUCUCACGACAAGUUACACUAAUUUUUGAAACUCCUCAUCGUUCGUCGUUGUCUCAGCCAUCUAAACUGCUUGAAGUAUAGAUAUUUCAGGCUAAUCAAACAAAAAGAUCUAAUCAUACAUUCUUAUAUGACUUAGAAGUAAACAAACAAUAUAGACCUCCUCCUUCCAUACAAAAACUCCAAAAUCGGAGCCAUUACACAAUCAUAGACCUCGAAGCUAUUGCCAAUGCAAGGUGGCAAAACGUACACAACAUAUCAGACGGCUAAUAUCCAAGAAGAUGGGAAAAUAGCUUAAAUAUUAUGAAUAACUUCUAUUACUGAAAAGGAAAUUAUCAAUUGAAGUCCAAAGAUAAAUCUUCCUUUUAGAGAGAAGACAUGAUGAGUUGACAUCUUAGUCGACAAAAGAGAGAGAAUUUGCACCAAGAGUGUACCGGGCAACAGAUUGAGGCCAUUAUAUAUAGAAUGGUAGGCUAAUGUACAGUCCGGCAAGAAAAUGUAGCUAACAAGAACCUUUUUUUCUUGACAUUUACUUUAUCAAUUUGUCGUGUGUUUAGCAACGACUUGUCUUUUUUUAUGAAAAGAUAAGUAACUGAUGCUCAAGUAAAAAUUGAAUUUCUGUAUGAUUAUCAUCAACAUCUCCUCAUUUCUCCCUUGUCAUAUAUUAGCUGAAGAAACAGAUUGUUUUUUCGGCUUGAACAAUCCUCACUCAGUGAGUUAAUUAUUGGAGUAGAGUCUGAUCCAAAAUCAAAAUUCCUUUUUACUUUUAUUUUUUCCUCUCAUAUGUGUGGAAUUUGAUUAAUUAAAUGAUCAAUAUGUAAUUUGGCUUUGUAAUAUUUCAUUCAUCUUUUUGUUCUUAUUAGCCAUACACACAAUCAAAAACUUCAGCAGUAGUUUAAUAAGCUUGAACAGCUGAUGCUCAAAUAGCCGAUGAAUUACCACCAACGGAUGUAGUGGAGUGGAUGAGAUUGUUCCUAGCUUAACUAGAAGUCUCAAUUCUAAGCCAUAUGUAUGGAAAUAUCUUUGGUAUGUAGCAUCAGGGGUGUAUGCAGGAGGAGGUCACUAGGUUCUCAUGAAACCCAUGCUUUCCUCUCGAAAUUAUAUAUAGUAGUGUUAUAUUUUUUUUAAAUAUUUAAAUAUAGAUGUAUGAACUCACACUCGAAGUAUCAUAUAAUGCAAUAGUGAUUGGAAAUUUGAAUCUUAUAUCUAUCUUGUUUAUUUACUUUCUAAAAUUGGAUAACACCUCUGUAAAUGGUUAUUGGUAGCAUUUUAUAUAGCUUUAAUAUUUUCAAAAUUUUCAAGUUUGUCGCAUUGGAAAUUCCUAAUUUAUUUAGCACUGAAAUUUUUUAUAUAAUUAAACCAAAUGUGUAUAUUAAGACUAGUGGUACUGGAUGAUAUAACAUACGAUCAAUGGGUUCAGUCAAUCGAUUUUAGUGAUAAAAACCUAAAUGUCGAACCGAUUAAAUUUAUAUCCUAGAUCCACAUUUUUCCUAAUAGUGCAUCCAUCAUCUCGAAAUCCUGAAUACGCCGUAGCGCUACCCUGAAUGGGCCCUACUUGGCACGAAUCCAUAAUAGUCGGGUUCUAAUGUAGGUAGCGGAUACCACCUCUUUGAGAUAAACAAACAGUACGAACCUCUUUCUUCUCUGAAAAUGUCUAUAAGGUACUACCUCCCAGUAAUAAUACCUUGUUGUUAUCGACAAAGUUUAGAAAACACAGAAUUUAAUGAGCCUAAUUUAUAAUCAGACGAAAAGUGUGGCUUGUUGAUCUAGGGAAACAAGCCUAGCUACAAAUUCAGAAACACAAGUACAACAUAUAGAAAUGUUUCAUCAGAAACCAAGCAACCAUAAAAUUUGGGAUGUCAUAAGGGCAAAGAUAACAUUUCAGGUACACGGAAACAAAAUACCUGCGAUUUUGUCACGGAAAACUUUAUCCUUCAAAGUGAUGGCACAACUGGUUGAGGAUUUUGGGCAACCUACCAAUUUAUGAAACAAUCGAAUAAGAUAUUGAGCAACACAGCUCAUUGAACAACUCUUGCACGUUUCUCUCCUUGAUAUUGCAUUCUUUAGUAGUAACUUUGAAAAGUUAAUCAUAAUCCCAUUCAAGAUGCUCCUUCAAACGCAUAUUGGAAGAACGAACAAUCUUAACAUUCUUGAGGUUGGGAAACCUGACGCUCGACAGGAAAUGAAUAUCAUGUUCUUUGGCUAAAUAUCUUAACUCAAAUGCGCAUUGAUCAAGAUCCAACUGGAGAGAGAAUACAGUCAAAUGAAAAUCAUAAUGUACAAAAGUUACAAAACAAUGAUUUACAGUACAAGUAUCUGGUACAAGAAAUUACAUUCUCUGCAAUUUGCACUAUUUGGGGAUUGACAUAUUAUAUGUUGUUUAAAUUUUAAGUUUUUUGCUAUUUUAUUCUUACAUCUUAUUUCUUGGCAAUAAAAUUAAUUUUGAGUUUUCGAGUUAUUGUCUGAUGCCUUAUAUAAAGGAAAAAAUAUUUAUUAACAUUUUUAAUUAGGCUACUGAGAUUACAUCAAAAAUAGUCGAGUGGUGAUAAUGUAUUCUCUCUUUCCUUUUACUAGUCUAGCAUAAAUUAUGCACUCCUUUUGAAAUAUCAUUUAUGAAGUACUUAUUUUACACAGUUGCAUGUAUUAAUUUGGAUUUGAAAUCUAACUUAGAUUACUAGUAAUGUAUUCCUAUAAAUUUUGGGAAAUAAUUAAAUAAUAAGGGUUUAAAAUUGAAAAAAAAAUCCGUUAAUUUGUUAAAAUAAACAAAUUAAAAAAAAUAUAUUUUUGAACAUUGGACUAGUAAAAAGGAAUGGAGGGAAUACUUGAAUAUGUUUCAAUCAUGUAAUUUGAAUUUUGCUUUUUUUUUAUUAUUAUGUUAUAGUGAGUUGUUCAUUUGUCGACACUCUUUAAAAAAAUCCAACAUACCCUAUUGUUUGCAUCCCUUUUGAUAAACUGUUCCUUGUGGGAAGGGGGAGCAAUGUUUAAACUUCCUAAAAUGAAUGUGCAAAUAAAAGAGCAAAAAGUUGCAGGGAGUUAUCGAUAGUUUCCAUAUUUAUGUUGAGUGUUUCCACAUGAGGCGAGCCUCCCAACAGGAUAGUUGCUCCAUAGAAAUAAAACUUUGUGAUAUGCAAAUCCAGAGUUAGACGUUUGCAUUUCAAUUCUAGAAACAACCUCUCUUCAAACUACAUCAGUACCUGAGUGGCGAUCCAGAUGAAAUAAUUGAAGGAUCGAGAAACCAAGAACAAUCAAAACGGAAGAAAAAUCUUAUGUAGACAGAUAAUGUUAUGGCAAAUCUGACCAUCUAACAAUGUAGUUGAAUGGUAGAAGAAGUACGCGACGACUUUGAAAAGUUGAUAAAAAGAUUGCAAAAAGUUUUGAGAGUUUUGUAUUACUACCAAUACUUUGUAUAUAUAAUGAGUAAAAAUCCUCAAAUUGUGUUAUUAUUUAAAGGGAAAAGGCUCAAAUAUGUCAUCGAACUUUCAGAAAAGGUUCAUCUAUGCCAUCUGUUAAAAGAUUGGUUCAUCUAUGCCAUUGUUGUUAAAAAAAAUGUUCAUCCAUGUCAUUUUUAUUAACUCGGGUUUUGCAAAACCAUUUUUUACAUCUCAAACAACUUUUAACACUUUUCAAUUGGAGUUUUUGGAUCAAAUGUACUCUUUUGCCUCUUCUUCCUUAAGAACACCAAGAACGCAUAAAGAACAUUAACAAAUCCCAAAUUUCAAACUUCUUUAAUUUUUCCCGAAAUUACCUCAAAUUUCAAGAGUAGUUUCCCUCCGAGCUAGAUACCAAAUCUCUUUUGUAGCGCUAGCCAUAGAAUGAACUGAUGUUAUGGGAUCAGUCACUUUGCCAUAGUAAGUUUCUUCCAUGCAACUUUAGGCAAUUGUGGAAGAAAUGAAUUAUAGGCUCUGUUGAUGUUGAACCCACCUUUGUCGAUGAAACUGUCAAGCGCAGUGUGGCAGAGGGUCCCCGUAGUCAACCAAGAUCUUGCACCUGGUAUUUUCGUAACCACCCAUCUUGCUUGCUUAGGAGUAGUAACAUUGUCUAUAGAGUUUCCUUUUACGUGGAACGUAUGAACCCAUUGAACCCUUAAUUUUUCUUUCUUAUUUGCUAUGGCCCAUAAUAAUUUGUGUAUUGCAGCCUUGCUCCAGUGUGAGAAGUUCAAUAUAUUAAGCUCCCCCCACCCCCACCCCACAGACUUGGGUAAGUACAAUGUGUCCCAUGCCACGAGAGCUCUCCUAGUGUAUUCUCCACCCCCUGUCUAUAGGAAGUUUCUGUAAAUCCCAGUCACUCAGUUGAUAAUCUUCUUCAGCAGGAGGAAUACCUAUGCCCAAUAGGUUUGCAUUUCGAAUAAUACACUUUUUAUCAAUUCAACUCUGCCACUGUAGGAUAGCAAUUUGGAUGUCCAGUACCUCACUCGAGCAAGAGAUACACUCAUUUAUGAUGAGUUUCUUGGCAGACGGGUACAUCCAAAUAUUUGAAAGGCAUAGUGCCUAAGGAGAACAGUUCACUUACAAUUUGCUCCUUGACUUCAUGAGUAUUUUUUCCAAAGUUGCCUUGUGUCAAGAUACAUCAGAGAAGUGCUCAAAAGCAACCAGCAUCAGUUUGAUUGAGAUCCUAUCAGCUCUACAAUACAACAGUAGGACGUCGGCAAAGCAAAUGUGCAUCAGUUCCAUCUUCUUGCAUUUAGGAUGGUAAUUGAAGUCAGGAUUUUGAUUCAGUUGCUUCAGGGACCUGUUUAGGUAUUCCAUGGCUAAGACGAAGAGGUAUGGGGACAUGUUCUCUUUCACACAUUACCAUGUGCUGUCUACAAAUGGCAUUACUGACAACAAAGUCAAUGCUGCUUAAAACGUCCUUCUUUCUAAUGAUUCAUUCCAAUCAAAAGGUUGCUUUGCAAAUUGCUAGAAAUGAGCAGUUGAGGUAACAAGACACCAGUCCCAGUGGCACCAAAUAGAAAUGUAUCAGAAGGCUUCAUUAAUUGAUGCAGAAGAAGACAAGGCCACUGUUUAUUUCUGCCGUGCAAAUAUAGAAGCAACGAUACAGAAAAUUUAUUACUGAUAUUUAAAGAUAUUAGCAUUCUCCUUCAGAAACAAAUUCUCAGGAGGGGUAGUUAAACUUCAUAAACGAAUGGAUGUGAAAAGAAGAGAGUAAGUUCCAGGAAGUUACAGGCUAAAUUGAUAUAUAUAUCUAUAUUGAGCGUCUCCACAUGAGGUGAUGUUCACAGAAGGCCAGCUUCCUCACAUGCAACUCUAGCAUCAGUUAUUCGCAUUUCAUUUCUGGAAGCGAAACCCCUUUGAUCUGCAACAUGCAUAGAACCUGGUGCAAUAAUCCCAAUGAAAAUAGUAAUAUAAAGAAUGGAGAAAGCAUUAACAAAAAAAAGGAAGGACUCCAGGAUGUCUUUGAUACACAGAAUGUUGAAAGUAAGCUUAGUUGUAACCGCGACAGACACGUUUACAAGCAUACACUUGAGAUCAUACAGAUCUCCUGAAAUUUCUAAAUGCUGAAGGUACGGGGCAAAUAUUACAAAAAAAUACAAGAAAAUUGAAGACCUACUUUCCAAUGUUCUUGCAGCUUAAGUGUCUUUAGUUUUGAAGACCUAAUUUCUAGGCAACAAGGACUGCCUGACAUUUGCAGCUUUGCCAUUGUCUAAAAACAAGCUCCACAACUUUAUGCUCUUUAGAGACUUCCAUGCUAUGACCACGUCAGCAUCAAAGUUAAAACGACCGAAAACUAAUGAUAUUAUUGACGAACAGGCGCAGAAAAAUUCAUGCAAUGUGAUUAAAUCAGUGGACCAGAGUACAACAUCUUCUACUUUUGUUUUAACAGCAAUACUAAGCCAUUGACUGAUAUGUGAUUUGUAUGGAUACAGAUGAUGUUCGAGCUCAAAUCUUUUUAUGUUGGAAGCAGCAGAAUGAGCUAAUACAUAAUCAACAAAGUCUUCUUAGAGAGAAUAGAGGUUGUGAAUGCCUCAUGUGCUGGCAAUUUGAACUAAGAGUCUGACAACUGACUAAUUUGAUUUUGGAUGAUGGAUUUCUUAAAUUACUGCUUCUAUCAGUUCCGUCAUUAACGCCAGAAGUCAUGAUUUUGGUCCAAAAGAAUUUGGAAUCGCCAAGUUAAUACUUUGUUGUCUUCUUAGAUCGUCAACUCUUUUUCAAAAAGUCCUCAAUAUUCCCACCCGGAGGUUUGGACAUAAACAAUUUUUCAAAUGACUUCAAAUUAGUGUUUGUUUAUGAAUUUGGUCCUACGUUUUAGAAGGCUUUUUCUGAGACUCGCUCAUGAGGCAGAGAACUUGCAAAACGUAAUUACACUCACGUAUGGGACUUAAUUCGGUAAGGCUUACGCCCCAGGCAUCCAUCUGUGCGCUCUAAAUACACCUAAAGAUCAAUGCUUUGGACUUGUUCAAAAUACUAUAAAGCGACAACAUAGAGACUAACAGUAACGCCCACUCAUAUCAUAUGUUAUCAUCUUAAAGUUUCUGUCACAAGAAAAAAAAAACCAGAAUUUAUUAGCUUCAUUUGCAUCAGGUGAGGAAACUAAAUUUCUCUUAGAAAUCAAACCUAAACUGAGUACACUCAUGGUAAGCCUAGAUCGGACAGCAUCAGUUUGUGGGGAAUUUUCCUACCACACAUUAUAUUCAACCUGCAUUAUUCAGCCAUGACCCCCUAAUAGUCGUUGGCCUUGAAGAAUACUGCAAGCAUGCAUUAUGCAUGGUUGUUCCAACCUAAACUAAGCUGGAUCCAGAACUCGCAUUUGAGACAUUUUGACAUACACGUAAGUGCAGAUGCAUAAGACAGUUUCUGCACAAUCAGCAUUGUAACUCAUGUGUAGGAAUGUCACAUGAUUUCUGCACAAUCCAUCCUGUAGGAGGAGUUGUCUCCAUUGUGGGAUAUCCGGGGGUAUCACAUAAGUAGGAUCCCUGUUGGCGUGCCAUGACUGGCCUUAAUGUCACUAGGUUUACUCGCGUGUACAAUUUAAUUUAUAAGGAGCAGAGAGUGGUGUUUUUAUUCAACACAAAUGCUAAGCAACAUUGUUUGGCACUUAUCAAAAGUUCAGUACAUAUAUAGUUAUUAUUCUCACAAACAUCGUCCUACAAUAGAUUGCCUUAAACUACCUAAAUAACAGUAGUUAACCAAAAUAAGGGGAUAAAAGAUACUAGUAAUUGUUUUGCAUAAUAGCCAUCUAUUCCUCCAUUGCAAAGUCACUGCUAAAUUAUGGGCCAUUUUUCUAAGCAGAACACACACAAACUGGACAAUGCCAGAACACACUGCAGACCUUCUUAGUUGCUGGGUGAGAAGAGGGGGGAGUAAGAGCCAGAAGAAAUGGUGGAACAUGAUACCCUCCUGUAUAUGGUGGACUAUUUGGAGAGAAAGAAACAAGAGGUGUAUGGAAAAUACUGCAGAAUCAGUACAAAAGAUCAAAUGGCGUUGUAUGAAGACCUUCUGUUUUUGGUGUAAUGAGGAGGGUAUAGAGGAUGCUGGACAGAUUUUAAAUUUUUUCUCUUCUUUAUAAGUUUAGUAGCAAUUUCUUGAGUUGGUCUUUUUUGGGUCACUGAUGUAAAUCUUUUUGAUGGUUGCCAGCAUACCCUCAUUGCUGAAGAAUACAACUUUACUUUAUCAAAAAAAAAAAGUAAUUGUUUUGCAUGGGAUUUAUCAAGGUCGGUCCGUGAUUUUUUUUACAACCCCGAGCAAGCUAUUUGAAUUGAAUCAAAUUUGUGCCUGAUAAAUGACAAUUUCAGGUGAAUCAAGCAGAUGUAUCAUCAUGAAAGUACAAGUAAAAGCAUUCAACCGCAUUGUGAGUUCAAUCACAAUUGGCUACAGAUCACAUGCGAUAAACAAACAGUACAAAUCUCUUCCUUCCAAGAAAUGCCCAAAAGGUAACUAUCUCCAAGCUAAGUCAUAAUACCUUGAUGUCAUAUGGACAAAGGUAGAAAAACAUAACAUUUCAUAACCAUAUUUAUCAGAAAAAAGCAUUGCUUGUAGAUCUUCCCAUCUUGACAGAUCUAGGGACAAAAGCCUCUGAAGUCACUCCAAAACAUAUGUACAACAUCUAAAGUGCAACACAAUAAAAGCUUCACAACAACUCAAACAACAAUAACAGUUGGUAUGUCAUAAGGGAUAUGUAAAUAAGGGAAAACUUAGAAAAAAAAUUAAUUCAUUUUUUAUUAUGUAAAUGGAUACAUACUUUUAACCAAAAUAUUAGGCUUGUAUAACAGAGCUAAUGUCAAACACUUCAUUUCACAAUAUUAUCAUUCACUGUAAUAGAAGAGAAUAAAGAAAUGAAGUUGGAUUUUUCACAACCCAUUAUAACCUGUCCCAGCCAACUAAAUUCUGCCUUAAGAAUAAAGAUUCUAGGCAAAUCAAACAGAUAAUGAAACAUAUCCUUGAAAGGCGGGAACAAAAAGAGAGAAGAAGAAGAAGAUAGAAAGGUUUGGUCCCAACUGGUCUCGUCUUUAUGACCUUAGCGUUAAAUACAAAGAUUCAACAACAAGCUGGCUGGUAAGAUCUCAAUCUACAUAAAACAAGAGUUUCUGGAUAGCCAUUUGACUUUAUUUCAAUCUAUCUUGUACACAUGCAUGCAUUACUAUUCAGUUGAGUCUACAGAGUUAUUCAUUCAGCUCUUUAAAUUCAGUUUUAGCAAGUUAUUUUCAUUCAACUAUUUUACAUACCGUACAUUCCAUGAUGUACAAUCCAAGAGCUUCUUUCAAAUAACAUAAGAUUUGUUUCAAGGCUGCCCAGUGUUUGACUGUUGGUAUAGACAUAAAUUGACCGAUAAGAUUGACUGUGUAGAUGAUAUCUUGAUGGGUCAUAGUGAGAUAGUUCAGUUUCCCAACUAACCUUUUGUAUCUUUCUGGAACACCAUCAUCCUUAGUAUUACGUACAUUAGGAACUAUUGGUGUGCCACAUGGCUUAGCUCCCAAUUUUCUAGUUUCUGCAAGCAGGCCAAUCAGAUACUUUCUUUGGACAAGAAAAUCCCUUGCUUGCUUCUUGCUACUUUUAUACCCAAGAAGCAUUUCAGCUUCCCCAAGUCUUUGGUAUGAAACUUGGUGUGUAAAAACUUCUUCAGAGAAGAAAAUCAUGCACAAUCAUCUCUUGUAAUAACAGUGUCAUCAACAUAGACAACUAAAAGAAUAAUACCAGUAGUUGAUUGUCGGUAGAAUACUGAGUGAUCACACUAGCUCUUUUCAACCCAAAUUCUUGAAAAACAUUAGGAUAACCCAACAAACACAAAGGGAAAUGCGUCUUGCAUAGAAAAGGGAAAAUCAUUCAAACCCUAGCAAACCUUUCUGCACCCAAAAGAUGGAUCUACGGCCUUGCAAAAGAGUUGAAGAGACAAAUAAAAAAGUGAAAAGAGUUGAAGAUCAGAGUCAAAUCAGUAAGUUGCCGGAUUCUCUUCUUAUUCUGAUUCUCUCACUUUUGCCAACAAAAUGCCUUCACAACAUCUGUUCUCUCAAAAAGGUGGGAGCAUCUAUGGCCUUCAAUUGAUAGCUUCUUUUUCUCUUGUAAAGAUAAAUCGCAAAGGAAAAACUUCAUAUCCUUUGUCGAUUAUGUAUUAGAUCAUUCUACUUGUUCCAAAAUUAAAAACUUCCAUUUGAUUUUCACCCACCUGUCCAAAUACGAGCAACGAGUCGGAUUUGUUGAUGAAAUAGUAGAUUUCAAAAUCAGCCGAUGGGUUCCUACUGAUGAGGAGAAAAAUAAAAUAUUUUCCCAAUCUCCCGAUGGCUUGCUACUAUUGUUGAAAAGAAUGUUGAAAAUAUUGUACUGUUGUCAGAUUCAUAUGAGAAUGACUCUAUUGACUUGCCUGACACUAUCUACAAGUGUUCUUCCUUGAUAACAUUAGAUCUCACAUGUUGUAUACUUGAUAAGGAAGUCGUCAUAGACUGGAAGUCUUUAAAGACCCUACGAUUGAAUGACAUAACCUUAGAUGAUGACAGAAUUGUAAACAUACUCUCAGGUUGUCCUGCUUUGGAAAUCCUCGAAUUUCUUGAAUUCUCCGGAUUCCGUCAUAUGGAAAUUAGUUCUUCAAAUUUAAAGAGGCUUAAGUUUGAAAAUCAUUUGCCGUACUAUAACUCUGAUGAUCUCUCUUUGGAUAUUUUUGCCCCACAUAUUCAACAUUUGGAGAUCUCCGGAUAUAUGUAUGAUCUCAGGUGUAGGCUAGUAAAUGUAUCCUCUUUGGUCAGUGCGAAGCUUACUUUCCAAAUGAACUGGACUUGGUUUGAUCAAGGUCCUGAUGAGCAUCAAGUUAUAAAGACACUCAUCGAAGAUUAUCUUCAAAAGUUGAGCAAUGCAACUGAGUUAACGAUUGGGACUUGCUUCAUCUAGGUUUGUUGAACUUAUUUGCUUUUUAGUAUAUAGAUAUCAAAAAGAGAAAACACUAAGAAUAUAACACAAUUUGAGAACUUUUAAACUUUUUACAAAUACAAAACUCUCCUAACUUUUUGCAAUCUUUCUGUCAACUUUCUAAAGUUGGGUACUUCUUCUACCAUUCAGCUACAUUGUUAGAUGGUCAGAUUUUUCAUAACAUUAUCUGUCUACAUAAGAUUUUUCUUCCUUUCAUUUGUUCUUGGUUUCUCGAUCGUUCACUAGUUUCAUUGGGAUUACCACCUCAGGUACUGAUGCAGUUUGAUAAGAUGUCGCUUCUAGAAUUGAAAUGCAAGUGUCUAACUCUGGAUUGGCAUAUCACAGAGCCUUAUUUCUAUGGAGCAGCUAUCCUGUUGCGAGCCUCGACUCAUGUGGAGACACUCAACAUAACCAUGGCAACUACUUCUGUAACUUCCUGCAACUUUUGCUCUUUUAUUUGCACAUCCAUUGUAGGAAGUUUUAACAUCCCUCCCCCUUUCCUACAUUGAACGGUGUUCCAAAAUGGAUGCAAUCAUGCAAAUAUAUCUUUGAUUAUCAAUGAGAGACGUUGUCACUAGAAAACUUCAUGUUAAAAAAAUUGUUGACAAACUUAAGAGUUGUUACUCUUAGCUUGGUCUACCUAUUCCAAGAUUCAUCCUCAGAGGAACAACUUUUGUAAUCAUUUUCCCAGAACCAUUGAAGAUUGGUCGAUUCAGAAAUUGUUCUAUACCAGACACUUGUCCUAUGAAAUCACAUUUUGUAAGUUUUGUGUAUUAUGAUUUUCAUUUGACUAUAUUCUCUUUCCAGUUGGAUCUUGAGCAAUGCGCAUUUGAGUUGGGAUAUUUGGCCAAAGAACAUGAUAUUCAUUUCCUGUCAAGCUUCGAGUUUUCCAACCUUAAGAAUGUCAAGGUUGUCAAUGCUUCCAAGAUCUGCUUGAAGGAGCAUCUUGAAUGGGAUUAUGAUGAUCUUUUCAACUUUUCAGAAUUUCUACUAAAGAAUACAAAAGUUUUGGUGAAGUUCGUAAUUAUAUCAAGGAGAAAAAUUUGUAGUAUCUGUUCAAUGAACUGUGCUUCUCGAUUGGCUAAGAAAUUGGUAUGUUGCCCAAGAUCCUCAACCAGUUCUGUGAUCAUUUGCGAGGAGGGAGCUUUCUGUGACUAGAUUGCAAGUCGUUUUCUGUUUCAGUACCAUAAAUGUUACUUCAUAUUUAGAUUUUGAUUUACUGCUGGUGAAAAUCUUGAAUUUGUCUAUGUAACUAAUAACUAUUUGUUCUUGUUAUCAUGUCCUUGUGACAUACCAAUGUUAUGGUUGUUUGGUUUCUCAUAAAACUUUUCUUUGUCGCAUUUUAGAUGUUGUGCAUAUGUUUCAGCAAUUCUAGCAGGUUGUUUCCUUAGAUUGACUAGCCAUACUUUUUCUCAUAAUUAGGGUUAUGAAAUGAUGUGUUUUGCAAACUUUGUCAAUGACAUCAAGGUAUUAUUAUCAGAAGGUGUUUCUACUGUUAGUUUAUCACAAAGAUUCUGUAGUCAAUUAUGAUUGAGACUUACAAUGCAGUCAAAUGCUAUUUAACUUAAGGUCGUAUUAUAAGAGGGUUAUGAUACAUCUGUUUGAUUCACCUAAAAUCUUAAUAUAUUAGGUAGAUUUGAGUUGGGCUUAAAUAGCUUACUAGAGGUUGCAAAAUAUUUGUGGAACAAUAGCUUAUUAUAUCAAAGAUAAGAGAGUGCCGGAGAUGUUCAAUGAAGUAUGAACUGUGAAAACCGAUAUUAUUUUUGGUUGAUCGAGAAAUUGUUAGGUUGCCCAAGAUCCCCUACAAGUUCUGUGAUUAUCGUCAAGGUGUGAGCUUUCCAUGACUAAUAACUGCAAACAGUGUGCCAUGCCAGGAUGCGGUAAAUGUCGUCUUAUGUUGAGUUUUUGAUAAACUGCUCAUGCAAUCAUGAAACUACUCUUUAAUAUAGUCCUCCUAUAUAGUACGAACAAUUUCAUCACGUUGAACAUGAAUUUUCCGAUAAGAUGAUCGAGAAGACGAAACAACAUUAUUACUUUGAGCCGGUUGUUAGUCACUGUCAUUAGCAACCGUAUCAUCAUGUUCAUUCCAUGAAUAUUUCAUCAAUUCAUUGGUAUAAAAUUAUGUAACAUUGCGCAAGUUAUGAAAAUGAUUCUUCUUCUUUUGAGCUGAGGGUCUAUUGAAAACAAUUUUUCUCCCCCACAAAGGUAGGGGUAACAUCCUACCCUCACCCAGACCUCACUUUUACGAUUAUACUGGGUAUGUUGUUGUUGCACAAGCUAUAACAAUGCUUCAGAUUUCAAGGAUAUAUUGUUACUGCAUUAUCUGUGUGACCUGAACCAGUUUCAUACACUGUGAGCUUCAUAGUCUAUUUCUGAACCAUGAGUUUUUCAUGGAUCAUCCAUGUCCUCCCUAGCUAUUCCUUACUGCAGGCAAUACACCUAGGGGCUGCGGCUAGUAUUGCUCAGUGUUUGUUUCAUGUUGAAAAAUAAAGCCCUGGUCAGAUGAAUAACAACUCUCUAAGAGACCAUAGUAGAUCAGAUAGGGGACGAGGUGGCCGCAAUCAGUAUCACCCUAACAACUAUGGUAAUAACUACUCUCCCAUGGGUCAAGCUUGGAAUGCAAAUAAUGAUGGAAAAGGAAUUGGUGUCAAAUCGGUAAUGGUACUAAUCAUCAAGUCGUGACAUGUUUUCAAUGCUACAAUCCUUCGGCUUAUUUCAUUCAUCAGGUGCCGAUUCCCUUGACUCAAAACAUGUUCCCUAACAUAAUCGCAACUCAUCUACUGCACCUGAUUUAUCAAGCUUUGCUCACGUUGAGGAUUAUAAAGGUCUGGAUCAACUACAUGUUGGUAAUGGACAAGGUUUCCCAAUCCAAAAACACUGGCGGCACCUCUUUGUCAAAUUUCUCUAAUUGUACAUCUUCCUUGAAUAAUAUUCGUGAUGUUCCCUCUCUAACUAAGUCCCUUCUUUCUUCGAAAUCCAACUGCUUCUUUCCGGUCAGAGUAAUAAUGCUCUUUACACCGUAUCAAUCAAGCCACAGUCCUCCGGUCAUCCUUCAGCUUUCACGCCACAAAAGUCACAUCCUCCUGUUGGCAUUUUUGGUUGGGCCAUCCACAUUAGAAAGUUCUUAGCCAAAUGUUGUCUAGACAUCAGCUUUCUAGUUCCAGUUUUAGAUUACAAAAUUUAUGUAUGGCUUGCCAACUUGGCAAGUCCAUAAUGAAAGUAAUUCAUUUUUGCAACUCAUUUCCCCCUUUUCUGUCAUCUCAAGGUCAUCAUUCCUCUAAAGUUUUCUAAUUAUACCGAGCAAGUUAGAGUCGGCUCUAUGAAUCCUCCGGUUUAUUUUCUACAUAGAGAAUUAAAAAUGGCAGCAAAAGAACAUCCAUCAUACAACCACUAUGAUAAUCCUUCAUAUGAAAUUAACGCCAACUUUUGAACAUCCAUGCAUUAUGUUAUUUCCCAUCUUCUUAGAACUAUGAAAAAUUGCCUUUUCAAGUAAAUUCCUGACAUUCAAUGAUUGAAAUGUGUUACACUAUAUGGCCCAUAUAGAGUAAAGGCACCUCCGAGAACCAUAGCUUGUCUCGCUAUUGCCACAGCCGUGUUCCUCACACACAUCGGGAGAAGUUCCAAUGUGUAGAUUAAUAGAAUGUUAAACACUGUUCACGAACUGAAAUAUGAAAUCAAUUCGACCCCUAUUUGCAAUCCUUUAAAGUUUCCUCCCUCAACUACAACACAACCUAUGCUACAAAUUCCACUAAGCAUAGAAUCAUGACUCCUCAGUAGAAUCAUGAGUCUUUAAAUGAAAGCACCUUUGUAAGGCAACAAACAUAUGGAGAUCUCAAAGGGUCAAACAGAUAAAUAUAAUCAAACAUUCUCAUUGUGAUGUGGCCAAACGCGCGACAAUUAUGAAGACAUCUCAGAAGACUUAAUAAAUAAUCACUUACAACACGUGAGUAAUAUAUCAUCAAGCAUGCUUUAACAGGUAAAUCACUAUUUUAAGCUCCAAGAAGUUGAUGUAAAUGCAACACACCAAGAUGCAAUAGAAGAUUUAAUGUUAAUAUAAAAGAUUUUCACUGAAUUUGAUACCUUAAAAUAAGUUGGAUAGGCAGCAACCAAUUUGUUUGCUCUGAGUUCAUUGGCCUAAGAAAUAGCAGCAUUGUACAAAAGUUGUUCAGAAUGUCGUGCAUCAGAGUCGGGUUCAUUAAAUAAAUCUCCAAAACCAUCCAAGAGUAACUGAGGACCUUAUUUUAACAUGUUUCCAGUAGUUAAGAUUACUUCUUUGUAAGGAAGUAAAAGAAUCUCCGAAUCUUCAAGUUGCAACCGGGCUUCAUCUUCCGAUAGCCUCGUAUAUGAAUCAGUUUCAAGAUUUGAAUCCACAGCGCGUACCUAUUAGAAGUUAUGUUAAUCAGAGUCAUUAGCUGACAUCAGAAAGUUGAUUAAGCCGGUCAUAUUGGCCAUAAUUAACCAUAUUUUUCUGAAUACUAAUUUGACCAAAAUAAAGAAUGAGAAAUAUUGCCCAGAAGACCAACUAAUUGCAGCAAGCAUGAAUAAAUUUCCAAGUUCAUCUAAGAGCUUAGUAAUGAUAAGUUGCGAUUAUCAAGUCUGAGUAGAGGUCAUGUAAAUUAGCGAUAGUUCUUAUGUAUUUGAGAAUGGAAAUAGCCGAUAAUUGGUGUGAGGAUUUACCGCAGUAUUAAAUGUUGCUCGAACCCGCGGAUGCAUCAGUCAAUUUGUACCCACUUUGCCACUAGGCUACAUGUUACUAUUGGUUUAAGCGGGGUCAAAUUAAUUAUAUAGAGUAUUUUUUUUUCAAAAAACAAAUUGAAUAUAUAUGUACAUAUAAUGUAUUUUUUCGACGAAGUGGAUCUGCCCCUGGUGGUCGGUAAAGGACAGUUCAACUUCUUUGUGCACCGAAGCGUAGUUGGGGUUGACCCGAUCUAACCGGCCAUUAUCAAUGUAGUAACUCUUAUUUAAUAGUGUGCUUGAAUCUUUGUCCCCUAGUAUUGAUUUAAGUGACGGGUGAUGUGUCAAUGAUAUUACCUCUUCGUCAACUAAUAUUAUUAUUUUGAAAGUGCCUUCAUGCCUUGAAUUUUUGUAAGGUACUAGUAUACGUAUUCGCGCGUUACGCGGCUAUAUAUGAAUUUAUGAUUAAUUUAAUUUCAUGAAACAUCAAUUAGUUGAAAUAUUUUACAUAUUUGUCCUUUAUUAUUUUUAUGUUGUAUUGAUAUAUUAAUAUAUUUUUCAUAUUAACAAUUUAUUAGUUAAGAAUAUUUCACAUGAAAGGUAAAAUAUUAUAAGACUAAAUGACAUGUUAAUAUAUUUUGCAUAUAUUUUUUUUCAAAUUCAAAAGAUUCAAAAUAUUCUUUACAUUCUAAAAUUUGUGUCAAACGAUAAUAGAAAAGUAAUUUAAAAUAGAGUCAAUAUAAAAUAAUGUCAUAUAAUAAUAGAAACAUGUUCAUGAUAUAUACAUUUUUUAUUAAUCAUUGAAAAUAAUUAAUCACAAAUACUGAAUAAGUUACUUUUAAACUUUCGAAAAAGAAAAUAAUAAUUUAAUUUUUUAUCAGUGAUUAUCUGUCGAGGAACUUAUCAAUUUUUCUAGUAAUCUAUUAUAGUAAUUAUUGCGUAAAUUCCUUUUAUGACUAUUAUAAAAUUUAUCAUAAUUUUUAGUACUUAUUAUUUUAAUACAACGUGUAAUCUUUUUCUUCAAAUUGUUAUUUUUGUUUAAUCAUAAAAAAUAGUACUUACAACAAUUUCUGUUUUUAUUAACUUAAAUAUAUUUCAAUACAACGUAGAAUAUUUACUUACUAUUUUCUUCCCGUGUUCUUUUCUUUAGUCAUAUAUCAAUAAUACAUACAACAAUUUAAUUUUUUAUUAACACAAAAUACCUUUAGUAAUAAUUCUUCUAAUGUUCUAUUAAUAAUAAUGAUUGAAAUUAUUUAUGAUUACUAUUAAAGUUUCUACAUAAUUGAGAUAAAAAUUGAGGUUACGUACAAAUAAAAAUAUUUUUGAACAAAUAAAAUAAUUACAUGAACUAUUAGAGAGUACCUUCUAGUUAUAUAAUUAUCUUACAAUUAUGAUAAAGUCAGAAAAGUGUAACUAUCUUCAAAAACUAUAAAUAUUAAAUUCAAAAUUUGAACUUUUAAUUAGUCAGUCUCAAUUAUGUAAAAAAUUACAAAUAUUUUUAUAAUUUUAAAAUAACUAACUUAUCAUUUUAAAAAUAAUUUUAUAAUCCCUAAUUAACUAUUUAAAAUUUUAUAUAAAUUCUAUAUUUUUUUAAAAUGUCUGAAUUCCACGUUAUAAAAAAAAUAAUCUUAAUUUUGAAUUCGCUUUGAUAUAAUAUUUUGAAACACGUUACUAUUUGUCUCGAUCUCAUAUACAAUGGUGCAUAUUCUCUUAUUAAUUAAAUGGUAGUUUCUAAUUAACUAAAUGACCUAUUAUUUAUUUCAAUAUUGACAAAAUAAUUUCAAAUUCUCUAAUAUCUUGUAAUAUAAGAAGUCUUUUUUGUACAUUUAAUUUUUAGAAUAGUUAUGUAUUCUAUAGGUUUGAAAGUUCUAAAUUUCAAAGACAAGCCAUUUAUUUUAAGUAUAGUAACAAUUUAAAAAUAUAUAUUUUAAAUAAAAUUUAACUGAACAAAUGAACAAAUUUUUGUUCAUAAUUUAAUAUUUUAUCACUCACAAAUAUAUUACUAAAAAACUAUAAGAAAGUGGAAUAAUAUGCAUAAAUCAUGAUAUUCUACCUUUAUCGAUACAUUAUAUUAAUAAUUCCAUAGAAAUUAAGAUAUUCAAUUGCACAUCUUUAGCAUUUUAAAAAUGUGAAUAUAUCACCAAUAAUCCAACAUUCAAAAACAUGUUAGUGUAAAUGAUUGAGUAAAAAUUAACAGAAAAUGAAAAAAAAAUGUAUUAGAAUAACUUCACUAGAAUUAAAUUUAAAAAAUAACGUACAAUCUAAAAAAAAAAUUAAUCGCCCUAAAAAUAUCAAAGAUUACAAAUGUAAAUAAAUAAAAAUAUAAAACUUAUUUGAUUUAAAAAAUUUAAGUACAUAAUAUCACAAAAAACAAAUCAAAUUGAAUGAAAUAAACUAAAAAAAAACAUAAUAAGACAUUAUAGAUCUAACAAUAUCAUCAUUUGCAGAGGAUUUUCACUUUGAUAAAUAUUGUUCUUCUUUUCUUGAACUUCUACUAUUNNNNNNNNNNNNNNNNNNNNNNNNNNNNNNNNNNNNNNNNNNNNNNNNNNNNNNNNNNNNNNNNNNNNNNNNNNNNNNNNNNNNNNNNNNNNNNNNNNNNNNNNNNNNNNNNNNNNNNNNNNNNNNNNNNNNNNNNNNNNNNNNNNNNNNNNNNNNNNNNNNNNNNNNNNNNNNNNNNNNNNNNNNNNNNAAAUAAUUUACCUAUUCACCAAAUAAAAAGAUGAAGAUAAAAAGAAUAGAAAUAAUUUAACAUACAACAUUACACAUUUGAAGAAAAAUAAAUCCACAAUUCAAUAAUAAACACAUGUUAGUAUAAAUGACGGAAUAAAAAAUUAACAAAAAAUAAUAAAAUUAAAAAUUAUUCGAUUAGCUACACUAAAAUUAAAUUAAAAAAUAGCAUACAAUUAAAAAUAAAAUUAAUCAAAUUUUAAUUCAUACUCUAAUAAUUUAUCACCCACAAAUCUAUUAUUAAAAUAAAAAUCUAUAAGAAAGUGAGGUAACAUGCAUAACUAUGAUAAUACAUUAUAUUACACAUUUAUCUAUAUUAUUAUAUUAAUGAUUCCAUAACAACGAUUUUUAAAUGCAUAUAUUUAACAUUUUAAUAAAUGUGAAGAUAUGACAAAUAAUUCAAUAAUAUAAAAACAUGUUAAUAUAAAUGAUUGAAUAGAAAAAAUUAACAGAAAAUGAUAACAUAAAAAAUAUUAGAAUAACUUCACUUAAUAAAAAAUAACACAAUCAUAAAAAAAAUAUUAAUCACAGCAAAAGUCAUCAAAGAUUACAAAUGUAAAUAAAAAAAGAACAUAGAAAACUAAUUCGACCUAAAGAAUUUAAGUACAAUAUAUGAUAGAAACAAAUCAAAUUGAAUGAAAUGAACCAAAAAGAAUUUCACAAAAAGACAUUAUAGCUCUAACAAUAUCAUCAUUUGCAGAAGAUUUCCAUUUUGAUAAAUAUUGUUCUUUUUCUUCUUGGACUUUCACUUUGUUAUUUGCAAGUAUAUUCAAACUUUUUUUUUUCCGGCUAGCCAACAAAUAAUCUACCUAUUCGCUCCAUAAAAAGAUGAAGAUAAGAAGAAUGGAAAGAAUUCAACAAAUAAUACUAUACAUUUGAAGAAGAAUAAGAUCAAUUACUUUUUUUAAUGAACUUUAUUUCUGUAUAUAGGAAUAGAGAUAAUGGGUAGAGUAGUGUUAGCCUGUUAGGUAACCACUUUAAAUUCAAAGUCAAAAAGUAACUACUUUGUCAUUUUUUUAAAAAUAGUUACGUGAGUUGGUUACUUAUUUUGAAAAAACACAUUUAAAAUAUUUUUUUUAUUUUUUAAAAACUAAUGGAAACAAUUCAACAAAUAAUACUACACAUUUGAAGAAGAAUAAGAUCAAUUAAUUUUUUAAUGAACUUUAUUUAUGUAUAUAUAGGGAAUAGAGAUAAUGGGUAGAGUAGUUUUAGGUAACCACUUUAAAUUUAAAUUUAAAUUCAAAAGGUAAUUACUUUACCUUUUCUUUAAAAUAGUUACGUGAGUUGGUUACUUAUUUUGAAAAAAACACAUUUAAAAUAAUUUUUUUAUUUUUUAAAACCUAAAGCAUAUCUUCAUUUAACAGAUUUUUUUAAUGUGCGGGUAGUUUUGCUAUUUAUUUAUUUAAAAUGAUUGAUGCACGUUUUUUAUUUUAUUUUUUCUUUGUUACAUUUUCUAUUACUAUAACCUAUUUUAACAUUUUUUACUCUUUUGUCCGUUGGUAUUUUAUUUUUAUUUUUUUGUAUUUUAAAUAGUUUGUUUAAAAUUUAUUUAUUUUUAUUUUAUUUUUGUGGUGUUGACAUGUGUCAUUCUAAUUUUAAUUAUUGACAUGUGUCUAUAUUUAUUUAUUUAAUUAUUGAUUAUUAAUUAUUUAAAAUACUGAAAAUUUGUGUGUGUUGACGUGUGUAAUUUUUUCUUCUCCUUUUUCAUAUAGACAGAUUACUGAAGCCCUUUGAAUAACUUAUACUCUAAUCGCCCAUUUGACAGAGCGUUUUGGUAUCUUGAUAACCGGUAUACUCUGUUUUGAUAAUUCAGUUUCAGUCACCAUGUGUGCUGAAUCUGGAUGCUUAGAGGUACAAAUGGGAAAGUGAAUAUCAAUGUUAAUUGUGUGUAUUAGGAAAAGUCAUUGAAAACACAAAGUAGAUGAUAGAUGUGUGAACAGAUGUAAAUUGUACAUAAAUAUGGGCAUUUAAAAGUUAGUUUGGAACUUACAACUCGUUAAUGGAGGCGAGCAAUUUCAACAAAGGCAGUGACAAGCAACUUCACCAAAGUCAAUUCCAAUAUUUUGAGAUUGCGUUUGCGUUCGACUAACAGGGCAUACCUCUUCAGUUUUUGCGGAAGCUCGAUAUUUCAUAGGAGAUUGCCUUCAUUCUGUGAUUGUUUUAAAGAGAGCUCUUUUUUAGUUAGGGUUUUUUUUUUUUGAAAAAGAGUGAUAACUGAAUAUGUCCUCCGUUUAUAUUUUGGUCGAAGAUGUCUUUCGAUACUCAAAAAAUGAUCUUAUUAUUAUUUAAUGGAUCAAAAAUACCAUAUGAUAUUUUCAAAAUAAAAAAAACUCAAUUUUCCCUAUCGGUGUUAUAACUUUAUUUCCUCAUUUGUUAAGAGACAAUUAUAAUGUCUUACAAUUUAGAUGGUUUUAUUUGUUUUUCAAUGUAAUGUUAUGCUUCUUUGUUAACAACUAUGAAAUUUUAACGGAAUAAUGAUUGUUUUGUAUGUGUUCAAAUAUUUGUGUGCUUGAAUUCAUAUGAAUUUUUUUUUAUUAUUUCAAGAGGCGAAAAGUUAACAAGUAAUUAGAGAAUCUAGUAGCUAAAAUCAAUUAUAGUGACCGGAUUUGUUAUCGUCAUAAAGGAUUUUAACGACCGGAAUAAUAAUAUACAAAGGACAAAUUUGAUCGCUAAAAAUGGAAUAUAACAAUCGGAAUUUAUAUCGUCCCUAAAAAAUCUCUAACAGCAAAAUCUAAUCGUCAACUCUUAACUUCAAAACUUUUAUUGAUUAUGCAUUAGCUCAUUCCCUCUCUUCCAAAUUUAAAAAGUUCCAACUCGAAUUCCAUUAGACUACGAUCUCUGAUUUGACUACAACUCCUUAGUCAAUCGCUGCUUUAGUUUUGCUGUUGAGAGGAAAGUGGAAAAUGUUGUAUUGUGGUCAUAUUAUGACAAGAUCUCAUUUCUUGAAUCUCUCUACAGACUACAUAUGUUCAUCCUUGAUAUCUUUAGAUGUUCAAUCUUGUCCUUUUGAUCUUCCAACGGUCAUAUCGUGGAACUCUCUAAAGAGCAUGAAGUUGGGGACUAUGGUGUUAGACGAUAACCAAAUUGUGAAAAUAUUGUCAGGUUUCCCUGCAUUGGAAGCUUGAGCCAUUAUUGGUUUGAUUGGCGGGAAGAUGGAGAGUCAGAAAUUUUUGACCCAUAUCUUCCGUAUUUUGGAAAUAUCUAGAGAUCUCUACAAUCUCAGGUGUAGACUUGUAGAUGUAUCCUCCAUUGAAAGCACCAAGCUUACUUGAUUGACGUUCAAUGGUAAUAUCUGGUAGCUUAGUAGAAUUUUAUACAAAGUAAUAUCUGGUAAAAUGUUCAAUUUGCCUCUUUGCUAAAGUUUAACACCAAAACUCACACCCGAUGUCGCUUUAAGAAAGAGAAUGGUAAUGGGUCCAUUACAUGAUGUAGAAUGGCAGGCUAAUGAACAGUCCGGCAAGAAGAUGUAGCUAACUCACUGCUAGUUUGCAGCCAAAGAGACAGAGAAAAUGUAGCUGGGCUAUUUAUAUAUACUAGCAAAGCUUAAUGCAAAAAAAUUCAAAUAGUCUGUAUCAAGGAUUAAAAACUAGGAAGUUGUAACCUUAAAUCGACAGAAAUAUACUUCGACUCCAAUGACAAUUUUGCAAAGUUCACAGUAGCUCUAUUGCAACAAAGGUAAAACAGAAACUAUUUCUCGAAACCCCUUAUCGUCAUCUAAAUUUUGCCUGAAGAAUGGAUAUUUCAGAUGAAUCAAACAAAGAGAUCUAACCAUACAUUCUUAUAUGAUUUGAAUAUAAUGAUUCAUCAGAACUGAAAGCUUCAAGAAUGAGAAACUAAGACAUCAUAACAUUUGGUAUGCCACAAGAUAAGUAAUUAGUUGCAUAGACAAGUUAAAGUGUCAUGAUUGUAUGAGUAUUCACCAAAAACUCAAUAUAAGGCAACAUCUCGUGUAUCCUAAGAUAGAAAACUACUUGCAGUCUAAUCAUCACAAGCUCACUACUAGUAGAUAAUCACACAAUUUGUAGAGGAUCUUGGGCAACAAAACAAUUUCUCAGCCAAUUGAGAUAAAAAUGUGGACACACAGUUGGUUGAACAUAUCUUGCACAUUAUUCCCUUUGAUAGCACGAACUUCUCCAAAACUGUUGCAUUGUUUAACAGAAAUUCUGAAAGUUUCAAAAGCUUGUCAAAGCCCUGUUUGAAAUGAUCCUUAAAGCACCGCUCUCCGGGGAAGUUGAUAAUCUUAACAUUCUUGAGGUUGGGAAACCCAAAUAAAAUCCAAUUUUGCAAAUCAAUAUCAUCUCCUUUGACCAAAUCUGAUAACUCAAAGUGGCAGUGGGUAUCUUCAAGCUGGAGAAAGAGAAUUUAAUCAGGACUAAAUUCAAGUUAGCCUCAUGGAUAUUGCACAAAAGUGGGGAAAAAAUGAUUUCAGAACCAACAAAUCUUAUUGGUACUUUUUAAACAGAUUAUGAUGAUUGUUCCUAUCUUAAAGAUUCAUGGCCUACGUAACCCAAGCAAAGAGUGGAUGGCACCAAACCCUUUCCGUUUCAGACCUCAUUUGCCUCAAAGAAAGCAACAACACCAACCAACUAAUGUUAAGCUUUGUCGUGACAAAAGAAAAAUUCUAAGGAGGGGUGAUUAAACUCAUAAAAUGAAUGGAUUUAAAAGAAGAGAGGAAGUUACAGAUUUUGUUGAUAAAUCUAUGUCGCGUCCCUCUAUGUCUAGUGCCUCUGUAUAUAUAUUUAUGUUGAGUCUCUCUACAUGACUUGAUGCUCGCAGAAGACCAGCUACUCCAUACAAAUUAAACCUCUUCACAUGCAACUCCAGCGUCAGAUAUUUGCAUUUCAUUUCUGGAAGUACAGUCCCUUUGAACAGCAACAUGCACAGAACCUGUUGCAAUAAUCCCAAUGAAACUAGUAAUAUAAAGAAUGGAGAAAGCAAUAAGUACAAAAAGAAAGUACUCCAUGGCAACAUAAGUUAUGUGACAAAUCUAUUGAAUUUCUUUAACAGUAUAUGCAACACGAAAGUAAUCAGCAGACAUCUUUAUACAAGAAAAUGUGGGUAACAUACAAGAAAUAAAGUCAAAUACAAUAAUAACAAAAAUUGGCACAACAAAACAAUUUGCUUCAAAUCUAUGAGCUAAACCAGUUCAUCUCCUGCAAAGGAGCUCAAAGCAUUGGAUGAGUUAUAUGAGCCUCAAGCCCUCAAGCAAAACUUAUUUGGAUUGGAUCAUCAUCUCGGUGUGGUUUUAUGCAAGUCUCAACUCAUAUUCACCAGCCAUGGUAAUAUACCGCACCCAAGGAAGAGCCUGAUAUCCACUUUUUUCUAUUAUCUUCAAGUAGUGAACCUAAUCAUCUAAACACUUUAAGCAACAAUCGACACAGAAGAAUCCGUGAUUUCAGAUACAUGUAUUGCAGAUAUGACAAAAAAAAUACCCGACAUUCGAAAGUUGACAAAAAAACACAAAAAAGCCACAAGUUUCUGUAACUCAUCCAGUUGAGUUUGUGAAAUUUGUACAAAGGUUAAUUCUCAACUGUCCAAGGAAAAGUACUCUGAGAUAAAAACAGACCUCUGUGAACCAAGUUCCAAUGGUUAACUCCUUUACAUUAUGGAACAUUAGAAGGUAACAGUGGGCGAGCGACCUAAAGAAUUGAUGAUAGCCACUACAACUGUCUUCCUCAGGAUCAACAUGUAGACCAUAAUCAUAGUUGAUGUCUUUGAUACACAUAAUGUUGAAAGUAAGCUUCGCAGUAACCACAGCAGACACAUCUACGAGAAUACACUUGAGAUCAUAAAGACCUCCUGAAAUUUCUAAAUGCUGAAUGUACGGGGAAAAAAUUUCCACACAACGAAGACUUCCAUCAUUAAUCAACCAUUGACCAUUCAGCUUCAGUGUCUUUAACUUUGAAGACAUAAAUUCCAAGCGAUGAGGACCAUUAAGCACAACUAAAUCAUGUAAUUCCAUAUCUUCCAAUGCAGGACAGCCUGACAAUAUUUUUGCAAUUUUGUAAUCAUCUAUAAUAAAAUUCCCCAAUUUUAGGCUCUUUAAAGACUUCCAGGCUAUGACUGUGUCAUCAAAGUUAAAACGACCCACAACUAUUGCUAAUGUUAUCAAUGACGAACAUUCGCAGAAAGAUUGAGGCAAUGGGAAAGGGGAAGUGAUUAAAUCAGUAGACCAGAGUAGAAGAUGUUCCACUUUUCUAGUAGCAGCAAAAUUAAGCCAUUCGGUGAUUUGCCAGCGGCUUUCAACAUCGCAAUAACUGUAGUCGAGUUCGAAUUUUUGUAUUUUGGGAGAAACAGAACGAGAUAAUAUAUAGUUAACAAAAGAUGUGAAAUUUUCUCGGUAAUUUGUAUUAGCAAAACUGAAGUUACGAAUGGAAGUCCAGAGAUAAAGCCACCUUUUAGAGAGAAUACAUGUUGUGUAUGCAUCCUUUGUCGCCGAACAAGACAGAAUUUUGAUCAGAAGUUCAUCCGGCAACGAACUGAUACGGUCCUCUAGGGUUUCUCCAACUCCGGUCAUUGGAAUUGGAUCUAAUUUCGAAUUGUUUCCUCAAGCAAAGUAAGGGUUUUGAAAAGAAGGCAUAAUAUAUGGAACUGGGUUUAGUUCACAUUUACGUUUAUGUCCUUCAAUUUUUAGAUAAUUAGACCAUUAAAUUUGUAUAAAUUUAAACAAACAAAACAUGUGUUUUACAUGACAUCCUAUCUGAGAAUUUGAGUCUUACAUCUAUUAUAACGUAGGACUCACAUAUAUAAUAUGCAUAUAUAAAAUAUAUAAUUUAAUUAUAAUAAUGUAUAAUAAUAUAUGUUUAUAGAAAAAAAAUCCAGUAUGACGACCCAAUUUUGGUACUGAUCUGAUCUGGUUCUAAACUAGUACCUAUAAGACCAGAUCAAAACUUUGGAAAAGUUUCGGUAAACCCGAUUCCAAUAGGAUCGGUUCUAGUAAUUUUGCUCGGUAUAGCAAAAUCGGUUUUGAUACUGAUAAAAUCGGUUUGAUUGUGUCUAAUCCAUUGUCAGCUUUAAGAUUUGGGCAUAUAUUUUCAAUUCAUGCAGUAGACAUUGUUAGGAAAAGCUAUAAUUGUAUAGUAAUCAGAAAAUAUAUUCUUUCUUAGAUAGGACUAAUUUACAGAAUAUACAUUUAUAACCAUAUAUACUCCUUCCUAGAAUAGAACUCUAACCCUCCAAUUGUAUAGCUAUAAAUAUUUGCUUUUCUACUGUAUCAUGGAUGAAUAGAGAAAACUAUUUUUCAGAAUAUCUUUUGUCUUUCUAGCAUGGUAUCAAGAGCCAUCGUUUUAAAAAAAAUUGUGCUCUUUGCUUUCUUUACACAGGUACCUUGUUACCUUCUUGUGUUCCUCUUGUCUCUUUGUUUUCUAUACACAGGCAUCUGUCCCUUUUUUUCUCUUUCUCUCUUGUAUUUUGUCUCCUCAAUGAAUUCACAAUCAUCCUCGCACGAUUUGCUCUCCACAAAAUUGGAUGGUUCCAUUUUUUCACUAUGGGAAUUCCACUUUGAAAUUUUUGUUCAAGGAAAGGGCCUUUUUGGGUGAUUAGAUGGUUCUGUUGGUCUGCCAACAGAUGAAAAAAAGUUAGAUCGCUGGAAUUUGAAUAAUGCAAAGAUAAUCGCUUGGAUGCUGAAUUCGGAACAUGCUAACAUUGCUAUGGGACUUAGACCAUUUAGUUCAACUUCAGAGAUGUGGCUCCACCUGCGUAAUGUCUACCAACAAAGCAAUCUAGCACGAGAGUUUGAAGUGGAAUGCAACAUUGUUGAAUAUACACAAGGGGACAAGAAUGUUUGUUCCUUUUAUGUUGGCUUGCAGCUGCUUUGGUCAGAACAAGAUCAAAUUUUUGGGAGAAAUAUGUCUACCGCAGGGCUCAAGAAAAUGUUGGGAGAACGACAAAGGACAAGGAUGGUACAGUUCUUGAACAGAGAAGUCACACUUGAUCUUGAUGUUGUGCUGGCAGCCGUCUUGCGUGAAGAGACCAGACUUGGAACUCAGGCGGCCAUAAAGUCGAUGCCAUUAUCCGUUGUUGCAUUACUUGCACAAAAAUCAACUUUCGGUACUUCAUCAGGAAAUGCUAAGAGAUGUGUCCAGUGCUAUGAAUGCAACGACUUUGGUCACAUAACAGCCAAUUGUCCUAAGUAGAAGAAUUUUUGUGCUUACUGUAAGAUUACUGGCCAUCAUAUUUCGGACUGUCGUCGUCGUCCAAAUCGUUCAUAGUCUGCUCACCAAGCAUACCAGAUGGAUGUCACUAAAUCAAUUGGUUCCUUCCCUUUUAGACAUGAUCUUGAAAGGCUGAUUCAAGAUUCUAUAGCAGAUGCCCUUCCCGGGGCCAUCUCAAGUGCACUUUCGGAAUCCUCAGGUACAAGUAAUUCUAUUAAAUCUACUUGGCAUCUAGAUUUGGGUGCUUCCAAUCAUAUGACCGGAGAUCUGUCCCAAUUUUCUUCAUUGUAUGAUGAUGUUUCUAAACAUGUUAUUCAUACGGCAAAUGGGCUUACACUGCCCGCUUCGGGUAUUGGUUCUGUUGGAAAUUUGUCUAACAUUCUUUAUGUACCUAAUUUGAAGGUUAAUUUGGUUUCAGUAGGUCAGCUAGUUGAUCAGAAUUGUGUUGUAAAAUUCUCACCCAAUGAUUGUGUUGUUCAGAAUCUGAAAAUCGGGAUGAUCAUUGCCAAGGGGCGUAGAGUUGGCUGAAUGUUUCUUCUAAUGUUACUCGCUCGAAUAAGUUGCUCACUCUUUGGCAUAAUAGGAUGGGUCAUCCUCAUUCCUCUCGACUUCAGCACAUGCUCAAAUAAUGUAUUCCAGCAACACAUGGCAUUCAUUUAAGUCUCCCUUUGACAUGUUCUAAUUGUGCCGGUUUGAAAAGUCACAAGCUCUCUUUCCAUCCAGUUCAUCUUCUUAUGACGAUCUGUUUGAUUUGGUGCAUAGUGAUGUUUGGGGUCCUUCUCCUACUUUGUCAAGGAUGGGAUAUAAGUACUUUGUGUUAUUUAUUGAUCAUGUAUCUAGAUACACAUGGGUGUUUUUUAUUCGAAAUAAAUCUGAGGUUCCGACUCUUAUUAUGAAUUUUGUUGAGUAUGUGUAUACACAGUUUCAUAAAACUAUAAAAAUAUUUCGUUCUGAUUCUGGAGGAGAGUACACUAAGACUAAUCUUGUUGAGUUUUUCAAAAACAAGGGAAUUAUUUCUCAAUGCACUUAUCCUCAUACUCCGGAACAAAAUGGAGUCGUAGAAAGGAAAAAUCGGCAUGUUUUGAAAACUACAUUGGCUUUGUUGGGCACAUCUAAUAUGCCUAAGAGUUUCUUACCUGAAGCAGUACAUACUUCUGUAUAUUUGAUUAAUAGACAAACUUCCUCAGUCAUUGCUAAUGAGACACCGUACUUCAAAUUAUUUCAUAAGAAGCCUGAUUAUUCUCACUUGCGAAUUUUUGGUUGUGUUUGUUUUUUCCAUCUUCCAGCACAUGAACGACAAAAGCUUUCAGCAAAGGCAACACAGUGUAUUUUUGUGGGCUACAUUGACACACAAAAAGGGUAUCUAUGUUAUGAUGCAUCUCGUUGCCAGCUUCAUGUAUCUAGACAUGUUUUUUUUUUUAGGGUCAAUUUUCUUACAAACACAAUUCUAAACAUGCUUCAGAAUCUGUUUCCUUUUUGUAUAAGUUUGAUGAUGAUGUGGUAGCUAUUGAUCCUCCCGAGCAGCCCAUGAACUAUGAUCAUGAUGAUCUCCAACUGUCCUGUUCUUCGGUUAUUGACUCUACAUAUGCAACAUCAUCUUUCGAAGAGGAAUCGUCUCACCCAGUUACUCUCCCACGCUGAUCUAGUCGGACAGAUCGCCAUGCUCCUGAACGACUCGGUUACUCUCUAGGGAAAUUUGGUGAGUAUUAUUCCAUGCAUACCACACUACAUUUUGUUGAUGUACCUAUAUCUUACUCUUAAGGCAGAUGGUACAAUUGAUCGCUACAAAGCUCGAUUAGUUGCUCAAGGGUACAAACAAGAGUAUGGGCUGGAUUAUGAGGAGAAUUUUGCACCUAUUGCAAAGAUGACAACGGUACGGACAUUAUUAGCUGUGGUUUCAAUGAAAGGCUGGACCUUACAUCAGAUGGAUGUGAAAAACACAUUUCUCCAUGGCGAUCUAGAAGAAGUGGUGUUUAUGAAACCACCACCUGGUUGUGUUCUGCCAAGACCAAAUGUAGUUUGUCGUCUUUGAAAAUCUCUUUAUGGCUUAAAACAGGCUCCCCGAGCUUGGUUUGACAAAUUUCGAUCCACAAUUCAAACUGCGGGCUUCUCUCAGAGUUCUUCAAACCAUUCUUUGUUUCUUCGUACUUCUCCAGUAGGUAUCACAAUACUUCUCAUCUAUGUUGAUGAUAUCAUUAUCACAUGAAAUGAUCCAGAGAAUAUUACUAAGUUGAAAUAAUUAUUGCAUACCUCAUUUAAGAUGAAGGACUUGGGACGACUGACAUACUUUCUUGGACUUGAGGUUCUCUACUUGCUUACUGGGAUCAUGCUUACACAACAAAAGCAUAUUACAUCUCCUACAGUGCUACAUGUUGAUAACACUAGUGCAAUUAAAAUAACCACAAACCCGGUGCAACACAAAAACACAAAGAAUAUAGAGGUGGACUACCAUUACAUUCGAGAAUUGGUUAUCGAUCGUCUCAUCACUCUACAAUGCAUUCCUUCUCAUGAUCAACUUGCUGAUUUGUUUACAAAGGCGAUGACACGAGCGUGACAUCAAUAUCUUAUCUCCAAAUUGCUACUUUGUGAUCACCGGUAUCAAUUUAAGGGGGAUGUUAGGAAAAGCUAUAAUUGUAUAGUAAUCAGAAAAUAUAUUCUUUCUUAGAAUAGGACUGAUUUACAAAAUAUACAUUUAUAACCAUAUAUACUCCUUUCUAGAAUAGAACUCUAACCCUCCAAUUGUAUAGCUAUAAAUAUUUCUUUUCUACUGUAUCAUGGAUGAAUAGAGAAAACUAUUUUUCAGAAUAUCUUUUAUCUCUCCUAGCAGACAUCACAAAUUUUAUGGAUUUAUUAAAAUAUGACUUUACAACACGAGUUCAAUCUUUCUUGAAAUCUACUUAUCCUAAAGGCCUGAACUCGAAGUUACGCCUAUAAAAGUAAUAGCUUUAAAGAAUUACUAAUUAUACUAAUAUAUAAAUAAAAAAGUCUAGAAAACAGGUGUUUGUCAAUAUUCAUGCUUCUUAGACAAUGACAAUUUGAUAUUUUAAUUUGUGAUUUUUCUAUUUUAAUUUAAGAUAAUCUUCAGACCCAAAAUAUAUUAGUAAAGAUUUAUAUAAAAAGAAUUAUAUUUUUACUUGUACUAUUUACUAACUUAAAAUUUUAGAGAGCCAAGAUUUUUCAGUGAAAUAGUUAUAGUCUUACCUUUGCUAUUUACUUACUAAAUAUUUUAAGGUGUAAAGAUUUCCUUGCCUUUACUUUCAUUUGUUUUUGGCGUGUAAUGUGAAAAGAUUUACUCAUUUAUGCCAAAUUAAUAAAAAACAUAUAUUUUUAUUAUUAAAUUGCAAUUAAGUAAUUAGAUUCUCUAAUAAAUAAAUCACUUUCCAAAACUCUCACCUUUUUUUUUUUUUUAUAAAUAGUCAUUUCAUUGUCCAUUUUUAUACUAGUAAAAUUUAUUGUCUUCUAAUCUUUUUUUUUUCCUUCAUCCAGUUCUUCACUAUAUUCACUAGGACAAAUACUUUGUUUUUCUUCUUUGUUUUUCUUAUGAUUUUUCUAUAGAUCUUUUAUAUGUUUUUCCAUAAGAAAAAAAAAUGAAAUUUUUGAAUGUUGACUGUUUUUGUCUUAUGCUAAUUCUUUUGCAAUUUUUAUAUUUUAGUUUGCUUGGUCUUUUUAUAAAAUCUGCAUUAGGUAUGGGGGAUUGAACUAAAAUUUGAAAGUUUUGUAAUUAUCUGCAGUUGGAUGAGUAAUUCUCCUCCUUCAUGGGUUUGCUAAAUAUAAAUUUCAAUAGAAGAAUUUAAUUUAAUUCAAAGUUUAGGAUUUAAUUAAGCUUAUGAGGGUUUUUGUUACUAAAAAACUAAAAAAAAAAAAAAGAAUUACUGAAUUACAUGUCUUCUGUUUCCCUUAUUUCCAAUAUCCCCUUCUAUUUUUAAAAACCUCUAAAAUUCCUUAUUUCUUUAAUGUAUCCGAGCUACAUAUUAAUGUAUCCGAGUCAGUAUUUAAUGUAUUCGAGCUAGUUUUUAAUGUGUCCGAGCUACAUAUUAUGUAUCCGGUUUAUGUUAUAAUGUAUUUGAGAUAUUCUUUAAUGUAUCCGAGCUACAUAUUAUGUAUCCAGUUUGUAUUACUUUUAAUGGAUUAAUGUAAUUACAAACUAAUGAGGAAUAGAUUGUAAUUUCAUAUUAAAACUAUGGAAUUUAGGUAAGUUAUAAAAAAAAUGACAACUUUUAUCUGGUCCUUUUCUCAUGUGAUGAAUACAGAGUAGCUCUUCGGUUGUCUUUAGGCGAUGACCAAAUUGUGAAAUUACUGUCAGGUUAUCCUUUAUCGAAAACUAUGAAAAUUAUAUAAGUUUGAGGUUUCCGUCACUUAGAAAUUAAUUCUUUAAAAUUAAAGAUAUUCAAGCUAAAAGAUGAUUGGUUUAAGAAGCUGGAGAGGCCUUGUAAAUUUUUUCCCCAUAGACUUGUAGAUUUGUCCUCUAUGGUUAACGCAAAGUUUUCAUUCAACAUUACUUGUAUCAAGGUUGAAUGGUUAACACUAAACCUUGAUGUAUUUGAUACAUGUAUUGUUGAAAGAAAGAUUAGUAUUAACUACAGAGGAUACAUCUACAAGUCUAUGUUUGAGAUCAUAACAGUCUCAAGAUAUUGAAAAUUUUGGGCAAAAAUUUCUAAGAAGGCAUCUCCAGCUUCUGAAAAUCAAUAAUCUUUCAGCUUUAGUGUCUUUAAUUUUAAAAAAAGAAACAUUAAUUUUCAAGUGACAGAAACCCUCAAACUUGUAUAAUUUCAUAGUUUCCAAUGAAGGAUAACAAUAAUUUCACAUCUUUCAUCCACGGAAUAUUCAUGCAUGCAUAAAAAGCUUUGAUUUUUGUUCAAAAGUUAAAUUUGACAGACAAAUUACUCUUAUUUCAAGAUGGACUUCAAUUUUCAUCCCUCAAAUCGAUGAUUUUUAAUUUUUGCACUUGCUUUUCAUCUAAUGAAAAUGUGUAGGCCAAAGUACCUCUAACUAUGGCCUAAUUUCGCAAGAUAGGCUUUAAAUUGUGUAGUAUCUCAUUUAUAAGGCAAAAAUUUAGAAAAUCUUUGCCUUGUCCAAUACAGUAGCUCUAUUGCAACAAAACAAAACAGUAGCUCUAUUGCAACAAAAGCAAAACAGAAACAAAUUCUCGAAACCCCUUAUUGCUGUCUCAGCCAUCUAAAUUUUUCCUGAAGAACCGAUAUUUAAGGCGAAUCAAACAAAGAGAUCUAAUCAUACAGUCUUAUAUGACUUAAAUAUAAUGAUUCAUCAGAACUGAAAGCCUCAAGCAUAACUGCUAAAAAUUAUCUGAUGUAAACAAAAAAUGCUGACCUCCUCCUUUCAAGAAAAAACAUAAAAUGAGAACUAUUACAAAAUCAUAGACUUCGAUGCUAUAUCAUACAGCUAAUUAUCAUUAAAAAUGUGGAUUACUUCUCAUCUUAUCAGGUCGAGGAAAACAAGAGUUGCAAGAAAUGUUAAUAUAUAUGUACAACAUCUAAAAUGCAACAUACAAAUGCUUCAUGAGAAACUAAGACAUCAUAACACUUGAUAUGCCACAAGAUAAGUAAUUAGUAGCAUAGACAAGUUAAAGUUUCAUGAUUGCAUGAGUAUUCACCAAAAACUCAAUAUAAGGCGACGUCUCGUGUAUCCUAAGAUAGAAAACUACUUGCAGUCUAAUCAUCACAAGUUCACUACUAGUAGAUGAUCACACAAUUCGUGGAGGAUCUUGGGCAACAUAACAAUUUCUCAGCCAAUUGAGAUAAAAAUGUGGGCACACAGUUGGUUGAACAUAUCUUUCACAUUAUUCCCUUUGAUAUCACGAACUUCUCCAAAACUAUUGCAUUGUUUAACAGAAAUUCUGAAAGUUUCAAAAGCUUGUCCAAAACCUGAUGAUUCUUCUCUGAUAUUAAUUCUAUCUUUAUUCAUUUUGUGUAAUGCAAGGAACACAACGUAAAAUAAGUUAUAAAGAGAUUAAUAUUUUCGUUUCAAAACAAAAAAAAAAAGAAAGAGUUUUUGUAGAAUGUGAUGUAGUGGCCUUUAAUGCCAUUAACAUUCAUAAUGAUUUAUCAAAAUUAACUCUUGACUUUUCAAUAAUUCCUAUUGAAAUAUCCUAUAUAAAGAGAAAAAAAAAAUUCAUCUUUUUUUCUUAGCUUAUUCUUAGAAUAUUUUCUGGGCAAUUGCUGGCCUGUAUUUCGUCAUGAUGCUUAGCAUUUGGUGCGUGGGUAAUUUUUGACCCACCACACACCCCGUGUUUAGCAUUUGGUGUGUGGGCAAUUUUUGGGCAAUUUUUUUUUAUUAUUAUUUUUUUGGGCCCCAACAUUAGGUGAAAGGGAUCAUGCUUUGAUACCAUGUUAAAUUAAGUUUUGGGCCUAACUUACACUCCAAAAGCUAGUUCAAAAGAAGGAGGAUUGUUUAAGCCUUAUAAAGAGUCCACCCCUCUCAUUAACCACCAAUGUGAGACUUUUUGCUUUAACAAAGCUUUUGUUUAUUGUACAUAUACACAUUCAAAUUUCCUUGCAACUCUGUUUUUCCUUGACUUUACCAAGAUGAGCACAUCUGCAAGCCACAUUUUAAUUGUAUCUUUUGCUAUUGCUUUGUCAUACAGUAUGAAGGUCUAUGAUUCUGAAAAGUUGUUGGGGAAAAAUAGCUCUCUCGUUAAAUGUAGCAUCCAGUUUCCCUGCGAUUCAAAAUUGCGCGUCUACAUGAGUUUCAAGAAACAGUAAUAACCAGAAUAUUGAAUCUUCAUACUUGAAAAAAACAGUAAUUAAUGGAAAAAAGAGAAGCAUCACGCUAUCUUGUGCACAACUUAACUAAUUCAUUCAAACAGUUUGUCUGGCCUAGAAACACAAGUUGUCAAGGUUAUCCUCUCACUGAGAUUAAAGCACAUUAGCUCCAUUGGUAACAAUUUGUUUCUGCUUUUCUAUAUAGUUGAAAGUAUACUUGUUGAGUGUGGAAACUCCAUUAUGCAUGUAAGGGAUGAAUUCUUUGUUUUAUUUCUUCAAUUAGGUACUCUUUUCAAAAGUUUAAACUAAGAUUUGCGUAGACUCUAGUCACUCUACUAUACUUUGCAGUAGUAGUAGUUGUAAUGACAAUAAACCAAAGAAUUCUAAUCAAUGAAACAUGUGGAGUGAGGGAAACUUUGAAACUGUGUCCUUUUCUGCCAGACUAGCUAGUGUUAUGGAAAUUUAAUUCACUUUGGGGUCGUUUGGCAGAGCGCAUUAAAAAAAAUGAUGCAUGCAUUAACUUUAUGUAUUGUUAAUAUCUUGUUUGGUACAUUUUUUAAAAGUAUGUAUGAACUCUAUUUGAUAUUAAGGUGUGUAUAAAGAAUACAUGAUAAUGUAUGGUAGUAGUAAACAAAGGAUUUUAAUGCCUACGUUAUUAGAAUGACUAAAGACACAAUUGUCCCUCAAAACUUUUUUCACCAUAUUUGUGAAUGGUAUUUUGUAAAUAAAUAUUUUUUUAUUUUUAAUACACCAAAUUAAAUACUACAUAAGAAAUAAUCUCAACAUAAUAAAUACAAACAUAACUAAUAUCAGCAUUACUAAUAUGCCCAAAACAUUCUUUAACUAAAAUUCAAAAAUGUCUGCACUAUGUCUUUGCCAUAUGGAUAAUUUCUUGACUUUAUGUGAUAAGAGCUAGCUGUCUAUACAGCAUCCAAGUGUUGUAAUGAAAUAACCUUAAUUGGAUAGGGUCAUUCUUCAGUUUAUGUGGUCAAUAUUAAUGUUUAAGGUGUUCACUGAAUUGUUGACUUGGUCAUAGGAGGCGGGGCGGAGCUAUAGCAUCAAAAAAUUACGUGGUAUAUAUAUCAAAUUCUGCAUUUAAAGAAUAUAUAUUUAAAGUUUGACACUCUUGAAAAAAGUUAUAUUUUUGAUGUAAUGGUGAUGAAUAUCCAUUCGAAUCAGAACGUUUUGAAUUUGAACCUGACUCCGCCAAUGAUCGAAGGCCAUUUUUUAAAAUUCUUCCGUGGAUUAGGAUAUCGGUGAUUUUUAGUACAUGAGUACUAAAUAAUGACAUGAACAAAUAAAUUAUCUAAGUAAUAUAUAUCGUUAGGCUAAAUAUUUAUAUAAUAUAUUUCAUUUUCUAAGUAAACAAAUUCCAUAUCUUUCCGAUAAUCUAAUAGUUUACAAAAUUACAAUAUAUAAAACACAAGCUCAAAAAUAAGAUAUACAAAACUACCAACCUUUGAGUACUACAAAAGAAUAUUUUUCCUUUUGAAUAAUAUUAAAUAAAAUUAAGAAAAAUGUACCAAUUUUUUUUUUAUGAUAACUAAUUAGAACAUCCACUAGUUAAACCAGAGAGUAACAUCAGAGCAAGUUCUUCUUCAAACAUAGUAAACCUCAGUCCUUCAUCUUUAACUUUCCGGUGAACAUCCACCAUAUUUUCCGGUAUAAUCACGCUCCGGCAAAGCGGACACGUGGCUUGUCCCUUCCCGUGCAUCAACCACUUAUCUAAGCAAUUUUCAUGGAAAAUAUGACUGCAGUUUACAAUUCUCCUCCCUUUUAUCUCCGUGCUCGAAAUCUGAUAAACAAAUCGAGCAAUCAAGCGCUUCACUAGGAACAAAUCCAAGUAAUUUCCGCUUUUUGUAGACGAAUUUAGUGCUCUUUUCGUUUAUAAUUUUCCUACAAUUGUGUUUUUCUCGUUUUUGUAGGAAUACACUGAUCGAAACAAAAAACAGAAGGAGUAGGAUUUUUAAUGCUUGAGGAAGCCAUGAAAAGAAGAAAAUAUUGAUACGUUGAUUGAAAUAUGAGAAGAAUUUAGUGAAUGCAGACAUUUUUUACUUUUAUUUUUUGAAUUUGCUUGAAAGAAGAGAAAACAGAGCUCUAUUUAUAGUUUAUAGUUGUGAAACUGUAUAAUGGCGUCUAGUGGUUUUAGAAAACACAUUUUAAUAAUGUAUCAAAUUAAUAAUUAGUGAGUACUAUGAAAUAGAGCAUAGUACAUUUUUUUAAUUUAUACGGACCGAAACUCCAAUGAAGUUUCCUUUUUUGAAACACGUUUAUUUAUUUUUCAAAUUAUUUAAUAUCAGUUUGAAAUUUUAACAUGUCGAUAACUUAGUAGUUGUAUGGAAUGCCCAAAGAGGUAUGGAAAAAAUAAGAUUAAAACACGUCAAAGGAAUUUAACAAUCAAUUUUCUUAUAUAAAGACUAAAAUUACUUGUUUUAAUUGUUAUCUUUACUAAAAAUAGACGAUUUAUAAUAGUUAUUAUUAAAAAUUAAGAUAUAAUUGAAUGCAUAUUUUCUCAUUUUAUCCUUGAUAUUAAUUAUUUUUGGAAGUAACAAAUAUUGACUAAUUAGCAUAGAAGAUAUAUACUGUAAUUAUAUCCUUUUUCAUUGUUAUUGCAUGAAAUUAGGAGCAACGGUGGCGAUCAAAUCCAAAGGAAAAACUUGAUAGUAUCAAGUUGGUAAUUAGUUAAAGAAAAACUUGAUAGAGUUGGUAAUUAAUUAAAUUACGGAUGGUGGUACAUUUUUUUAAUAUAAUUUUUUAGUGUCUUUAAACAACUACUAGAACUUUGCAUACUAAAAUUCUUAUUCCCAAUUUUUUUUAUAGGGAAGUCUAGAAUUUAUUACUACUACUUAAAAGGAAAAAAAACACGUGCAUUUUAAAACUUUAUAUUAUUAUAUCUUUUGCAACUUAUAUCUAUCUACUACUAAUAUAUAAGCCAUGAUAACCACACACCUCACGGUCGACAUGCCUGCCUGGCAUUAAAAGGCCAGGGGUAAUAUGGGUAUUUACAUUAGUAUUAUGCUUAACUACUGUUGUACGUCAUUGCUUUACGUAGGGGUGUUCACGAUUGGAUAAAAACCGAUCCAAAUCGAAAAAUUGAAUCAAAUCGAUAAAAUAAAACCAAUUUUAUUUGGAUUUGAUUUGGUUUGGUUAUGGUUUUAUUCAAAAAAAUCGAAGAAAUAACCGAACCAAAUCGAUGAAUUAUAUACAUAUAUUUUAUUAAUAUACAUACUUAAUAGAUUGUUUUUAUAAAUAAUUUUAAAAGAUCUUAUACAUAUUUUCAUUAAAAUUUCUUUAUAAUUUACUAUUGAAAACAAAAUGUCCAAGAUGAAACAUUAAUCUUAUUGAUUUCAUGUAUAUGAGUGUCUAUGACAAUUCUUUGUGGGACUGAAAAUGUUAUUAUCUCUUCCUUCUAGGCUAAUAUAGUGAAUUUUAAAGCUUUAUUGAUAGUAAAUUUAGUGAUCGAAAGUUCAGUAAUUUAAGUCAUUCUAACUAUUUUUUGUUUUGAAUGGAUUGUUGUCACUUUUUUCACAUUUUGAAUGAAUUGUUUCUUUUAUUUUUGUGUAUGGUUAAUAACCGAAUAACCGAACCAAACCAAACCGAAACCGAUAACCACCAAACCGAUAAAUGUAUAUUAUAUUUGGUUUGGUUUGGUUUUGAUAAUUUAAAAACCGAUUAAAUUGGUUUGAUUUUGAUUUUAACCAAUAACCGAUUCAAACCAACCCGUGAACACUCCUAGCCGCCUUUAUGACGUAUAUUCCCAUCAGUUGACAUAAAAGCCCAUAUGUGUUUUGUUGUUUACUUUGCUUCAGCCAAAAAUUUCUUUGAUUUUCCAUGCAUGUGAGGCCCUUGUAUCUCUCUAUUUCGCUUCUUUCCAAUUUUCUUUUCACUAUUACCCAAAUGCCUCUUAAUAUAUGGACCCCACUUGAGCAAUUUUCAUUUCCAUUCUCUUUUGUGUAUCCUAACUAUUUCUUCAAAUUUUUUCACUUUGUUUAUUUCGUGAAAAUUAACUUUUUGUAAUUUAAUUGCUCAAUUUCUUAUAUUUUAGUUACAAAAUAUAUUAGAGGUACAAUUUUUAUUAAAAAAACUAAAAUUUUGAAAAAGAUUUAAUUGAGUCUUGAAAUUUUAUCAGUGUCACAUGAAUAUAAAUAGAUGGAAUAACAUAUAUUAUUAGAAAUUACGUAAAAAUAUUAUAAGUCACAAUAAUUAGCAAUUGAAAAUAUUUUGAUUUCCUCUCUAAUUUCAUAUGUCCCAUUUACGUUAAAACAUAAGAAGUAUCAUAUAUUAUUUGAAAAUGAAGUGAAUGCUUAUUUCUAUAUGUGUGUCUCAUAAUAAAUCAUAAAUAUUUAUGCUGCUAUAAAUCAUUUCAUUAAAUAUUGAAAAAGAGUUAAAUUGAUAGAGUAAGAAAUCUAAAAAAAUUACAAAUUUUUUACUUAAAAUACUAUAAAUCACGACUUAAAAUAUUUCAAAAUCAUAUAAGAAAAUUGACCGACUAUCUAAAUUUCAUUUGUGUCACAUAAGUUGGAACCAAGAGAAUAACAUAUUAUUUUAAAGUUAUGUAAAUUCAAUAGGCCACAAUAAUUUACAACUUAAUUAUUUAAAAAACUAUCUAAAAAAAUUGAACGACUCUCUAAAUUCUAUGUGUCACAUAAAUUACGACAAAAUAAAUAACAUAUGUAUAUAUAGUACGACAAAAUAAAUAACAUAUGUAUAUCUAGUAAUUAAGAUAAGUGGCCAAAUUUGUCAUACAAAGAGUCUAAUUAGUUUAUCAGAAUUCCAAACAUUACCGUGCAGCCUACUGUUUGUUAUUUUAAAUUGUGAUUAGCAACACAAUUUAACAAAAACUUUUUCCCCAAUAUGUAAAAAGCAAAAUUCAUAAACAGCCCAUAACUCAGCAUGCAUCACCUACAUUAAAGGGUAAAUUACAACUAGUAAUUUUUUGUAAAUAAAAAAAAUGUCAUUAUCAUAAUUUUUUUUUUUUAUAGAUGAAGUUCAAGAUCAUUAUUUUUAUUGUAUUUAUGAAUCGACAAUUCAUUUCUUGUUAAAAUUGUUUCUUUCAAGAUGGUUGAGAUGGUCUUGAAAUUUUAAAAAGAAAUACCCUACAUAUAUAUAUGAGGAAAAAGACACGUGUCAUCGUCAAUAACAAGUCCAAAAUUUUAACAACCUAUAUGAAUGGCUCAGUGUUAGAAACUUUAAUAAAUCGAAAAUAAAAAACAUGUCAUUUGACCUCCUUAGAAAAAAGAAUUAUAUAUAUACAAAUUUGAAGAAAAUGCUGACAAUCUUCUUCAGAAUAAUACAACACGUACGUCACAAAUAUAAUAGAGAAAGGGAGAGGAGCCUCACAAUAAACUUUGAUGAAUUGAAUAAAAUAAUUAUGAUAUAAAGUUUCAUAGUAUUAUUUAAUUUGUCUUUUAAAUCCUACUUAACCAAUUCUAAUAUAAAAUAUAAUCCACCAGUUGUUGUAUUAUUUUGAACAAAACUUAGGAAAAGAAGUUGUAUCCACCAUAUUAUAUACUUAUUCACACUACUAAUUAAUUAUGAUCUAAUAUGACAUGGAAUUAUUGUACGUAUGGAUUAAUUAAUACAUGAAUCACAUAUCAAAACACAAAAUUAUUGAAGAGUCGUAGGUAAACACUUUAUAUUAUAAUAUUAUAUUGAUAUAAAAACAUGUAUGGAACCUAAUUAAAUUUAAACUGAAGUUUUAUUUAUCAUUAUAAAAACAUUAUGGAACCUUGUUAAAUUAAAUUCAAAUUUUAUGUAUUAAUAGUUGUAAAAUUAUAUCACUUAUAAUUAUAUAUAUAGUUAUAAGUAAAUCUCUUAAAAAGUAUUCAUUAGUACCGUACACAGUAAAGAUGAUAACCUAUAUGUUAUCAUAAACUAAAUUUUAUUGAUGAUAUAAAAAUAUGUUUUAUCUUAUUGAUGUAUAUACUUAUAAUAAUAAUAUCCUUAAUUGAAACAUGUUAUAAAGAAGCCGCAUCCGUAUUUUUUAUACAAUUAAUUUUCUCGUAAGCUUCCUAUGAAUUCUUUUUAACCUAUUUGUUAGUAAUUAAUUAGGACCUAGAGUUGGUACGGCGCAAUAAUGGAUAAGAAUUAUAUAUUAGUCCAAAAUGUCGAGUAGAGCUUGUUAGCAACUCUUGACUUUUCUGGGUCGUUUGGUACAAAUAUUGAUAACGCAGAGAUUAAUAAUACAUGAAUUAGCAAUGCAGGGAUAAGUAAUACAGGAAUAGUAAGGAAUAGUAAUGCUGAGAUUAUUUUUCAUUAAAUGUUUGGUUCAUUGCUUCCCACUUAAUCUUGUGUUUGAUUUAAAAUUCUAUAAGAAAAAAAAUCUUUCCUAUAUAUAUAUAUAUAUAUGUAUGUAUUUAACUUAAAAUAAAUUGUUAUAAAUUUUGAGGAGUGAUGUACCACUAAGGAGAUCCUUGAUGACACAUUUAUUUCUAACUUUUUGUUGGUCAAACAUAUUUUAAACUUAACAUAGCUUUAAGCCUACUUAAAUUGUCAGUACCUAAAGCUUAUUAAAAAAACAAAUAGUUCAAUUGGUUAAUCGACGAACUACAUUGAAGUAAAUAAAUUAAAAAAAAAGCGAAGAAAAAAAUAUUAGUGAAAUCAUCAAAUUACACUAAACAGAUAUGGAGAAUUAAAAAGAAUAUUUAUAACCAUUCCAAUAUAAAUAAAAAGGAAAUCAAAUAGCAAAGAAAUUUAGGAAAAGGAAUAGGGGGAUAGUUUAGUAAUUUAGGAGUCUUAUCCAAGGAUUAUUAAACCUUGGAUUAAUUAUCCCACCAUUUUCUAGGGAUAAAAUAAGACCACAUAUGAUGUAUAAGUAAUUCAUGGAUUAAAUUAAAUAAAGUAACCAAACAAUGUAUUAGCUGGAUUAAAAUUUACUCUAUGGACUAUUCUAAUUAAUACCGCUUAUUCAUGUUUUCGUUCAUUUUUACUUGUCAUAUUUUAUUUUACGAGAAUCAGUUUGAUUAAUCUUUGAACUUAAUUAUUAAAUUAAGUUAAAUUAAUAUUUUAAAUGUAAUAUUCAUAAAAAUAUUAUAUGCCUUGAUUCUUCACUUAUAUUAAUCUAAUAAUAAAAACAUGUUUUAAAAUAUUAAUCAAAAUUUAUAUAGUUUGAUUAAUUUUGAAAAGAAACAGAACAAAUAAAAAUAAAUGAAGAGAGUAUUAAUUUUAUUCUAAAAAUUGGAAUUUUUUUCUUCAAAGUACUAUUAUACCACUAUAAGACCAUCUUCAACCUAUCUCUAUUUUAUUCUCCGUUCUUUAUAAUUGGAGAGUAAAAUAGAGAAUGCCCUCUUCAACCUCUCUCCAACUAACGAUAUAUGCUAUGACAAUUGUUUGUUGUGUUACUUUUCAAAGUAUCCCUGUUGCCACAUAUGUUAGAAGUUAUAAAAGAAAAGAAAAGAUUUAGAUUAUGAUAUAAGAGAAUAAAAAUGAAAUGGAAAUAAAAAUAUAAUAUUGAAGAGAAAGAAGAAGAUUAUUUUUUAGAGAGUAAAAUAGAGAAUUGAGUUGGAUCGAAUGUCUGGAGAAAAAAAAAACUCUAUAUUUAGAGAGUAAAAUAGAGAGUAGGGUUGGAGAUGCCAAUAUAUGCUAUGACAAUUGUUUGUCGGUAUAUAGUGUGUUACUUUUCAAAGUAUCCUUGUUGCCACAUAUAUUAGAAGUUAUAAAAGAAAAGAAUAGAUUUAUAUAAUGAAAUUAGGGAAUAAAAAUAAAAUGAAAAUAAUAAUAUAAUAUUGAAGAGAGCGAAAAAGAUUCAUUUUUAGAAAGUAAAAUAGAGAAUUGGAUUAGAAUUAAUUGUCUUAAAAAAAUAGAGAACUCUAUAUUUAGAGAGUAAAAUAGAGGAUAGGGUUGGAGAUGCCUGGUAACAAUAUAUGCUAUGACAAUUGUUUGUCGGUAUAUAGUGUGUUACUUUUCAAAGUAUCCUUGUUGCCACAUAUAUUAGAAGUUAUUAUGAAGUAUUAAUAAAAUUAAAAAUAUCAAGAAAAUAAAAGAUAUAUUCAAAGAAAAUUAUUGAGGAGAGAGAAAGACUUAUAAUUGUUAUAUAUGUAAAAAAGAAAAGAAAAAAAAUUGGAUAGACUUGGAGCGUGUUUCGAAUUGUUGUGAGGCCAAAAGUAUUUUUUUCCUCAGAAAAAAAUAUUUCCUUUUGAAAAAUAAGUGUUUGACAAUUUUUUUAAAGUGUUUUUAAAUGUAAGUAAAAGCAAUUUUUCUGCUAUUGCGAAAAAGCUAAAAUCAGCUAAAAAUUUCAGCUUUUUAACAAAAGUAGAAAUAGAAAAUUAUUUUUUUAAAGACUAAAAUAUCCCUUCCAUAUAUACAUAUUCAUCAAUAUAUCUCUUAUUAAUUACUUAGCAUAUCUUAUAAGUUUGGUUAAGUUUCAUUCAAGUUUUUUUUUAUAUCAUAAUUUAUAUAUAUAUAUAUAUAUAUAUAUAUAUAGUAUUAUUUUAUAUUUCAUAUUUUAUAUACUAUUUUACGUUUUAUUUAUAUCAUUAGAAAUAAAGGUAACAACAAUAUUUUUGUAGGGUUAAAAAUAUGAAGGACUUUAUUUAUUUUUGUGGUGAAUUUUUCGUAUGUAAUGAUUUACGUUUUGGCCUGAGUUUUAAAUUUAUUUUGCUUGAUAUU